AUUCUCCCACCUCACCCAAUGUGUUCAAAAAAAUUCUCAUUAUGUUAAUUCAUACACAUCUAUAUAUGUGUGUUUAUAUUUUUUGUGGCCUAUCUACUAGAUAAUAAUUAAUAAAGUUUUUUCUUAUCUUCUUUGUUUUGUUGGUUUGUUUUGUCGGUCUAUAGGAGAUAAGGUGCACAUUUUUAGACUGUUGAUUGCACAUUAUAUGAAAUCUAGUGUAAUUGUACACUGGAAAAUCUAACUUAGUAGUCCAGCUGCACACUUUGGUGAGUAUCCACCAACUUCUCUCACAGAUUCUUACCAAUUUUUUGGUCAAGUGUGGGCUCAAGAAUUGUUGGCCAAAAAUUUGGCUUGCCAAUUUUUGCCCUGAUUUGGUAAGGCUAUGGUGGGCAUCAACCAAACAUACCCAUACAUCGACGACGGCCAUGGAUGCCACGCCAUUUUUGUGCACGUGUGCUCUGGCAAGCGCUGUCGGGCCGCGGUGAGGUCGAGAGAGCGCACGUCGGUGAGUGAAUCGGACGUGGGUAGGGGAGUCGGGAGUCAGCUUUGAAGAAGAUCAUGACAUCGAGUGUUUUCUCUUGUUUAUUUAUUUAUUGGUUUCUUCUUCGUUGUUGGGACGUGCCAGUUGGAAAAUUAAGAAAUUUCGAGAAUAACAAUUAAAUGAAUAAUUCAGAAUAUAGAUCAUGACGACAAUAGCAACUAAUAGAUGCAUCUCAAAAAUAGUAGAAGUAUGAAACAACUCAACGAACAACAAUAUGAACUCGCAGAUCAUAACUAACCUAUAGAUUGGAUCACGGAUUACGUAUUGUCAAGGUGGAGAAGCCGUUGCUGUUGCGUUAGCUUGACGAAGUUGUUGACGAAGAAGACGGCGUCGCGUCGCGCACCCGCGGGCUCGAGGAGGUAGACGACCCGUUGUUGCAAGGAAGCGAGCAGUCGCGUGGAGCGCUUCCCAAAAACCUUAUUCGCCCUCUCCUGUACAGGAUCACAAAGGCGAAAGGUUUCGGAGACCUGCUCUCCCGAUCGCUGGUGCACGCCGGCGCUCGGGAUGGAGUAGACUACGACGACGAUGCAAAAGCGAGAGACUGGCGAUACCCUAGCUCGGUUGUGUUGCGUACCGAUCGGAGGGACGGAACGGCUGUAUAUAUAGUCACGCAGGUAUAGGUCGGUUCGGUUUAAGAAACCUGAACCGACUCCACAAAAUCUGCACACGUCCGUAACAAAUUCCAAAAAUACCUCGCGCGCGUGAGAAAAAGAUAAAAAGCCCGGCCCCGCACCGACACGACACAACACGUCACAAGCCCGGCCCCGCACCGACACGUCGACACGUUACGGCUCGAACACGAUCCACAAAACGCGACGUGCGCGCGCAUCGUGUCGAGGCGAGCGGAGGAGGAGGAGGAGGAGCGCGCGUGGGGAUUUCCCUUGCUCACUUGCUUACUAGGUGAGAAACAACAUCCCUUAUAUGUUGGUCUCACUCAUUCUAAACUAGCAAGGUGAGACUAUUCUCAUUCCCACUCCCCUCAUCCCACUUCAUGAAUGAACUUUGAGAUUUUUUUCAGAAUUUAUUAAAACUUGGACUUGGGCUGAUCAGGCCCACCAAAUUUCUAACAAUCCCCCACCAGAUCUCAAAUACCCAUUUAGAGAUUUGCCUGUUCUCGCUACUUGUUUAUAUACUAGUGUUUCAGCAGAGAAUAUUAAAUUAAACUUCUGCCUAGACUUUUAAGUUACAUCCAUACACACUCACAAUGGACUAAGCCUUGAAUUGCAAGCUGGCGUGAAAUAGAUUUCACUCAAAGUUAACCAAUACUGGGCUAUCAGUAGUCUACCCCGCGGGUGGAGCAUAUGCGUCGUACUCCGUGGUCUCUUCAUGAGUUACUAGAGAUCACCCAAAUCUCAUAGACUACAACGUUAGAUAGUCGGACUCAUAUAGUUGUGUUCUUUCAAGAAUACUCUGUAGGACAUCAUCUUUCGCUACUCAUAGCUGCAAUGAACAAAUUAAGGCACGUCACCAACCUGCCUUACAACAAUUUGAGAGUCGCACAUCUUCACAUAGAGAGGGUUAUAACAUACUCUCCUCUGUUAUACCGAUAGCUUCGUUCUUCCCAGAUCCUACUUCACGGGAUCUCCGAUCACAUAGGUUGGGUUACCACUAUGGCACAACGUUCAUGGGUCUCAACCCCAUCUCCCUCGAUGCAAUCUAUCACAUUACGUGAUAGUCCCUUGGUAAAGGAUCUGCCAGGUUUUUCUCUGUUUGAAUGUAUGUAACAGUUAUCACUCUCGAGUUUUUCAAUUUUCUGACAGACUGCACACGUCUCCUCACGUAUUUUGAUGACUUCGCAUUAUCCUUUGAACUUUAAACUUUAGUAAUAACCGUUUGAUUAUCGCAGUUCAUCAGAAUGGCCGGUACUGGUUUUUCAACCACCGGCAAAUCCAUCAAAAGAUCUCUCAGUCACUCUGCCUCAAAGGUGGCUGUAUCUAAAGUAGCAAGCUCUGCUUCCAUAGUUGACCUCGUCGGUAUGGUCUGUUUGCAAGAUCUUCAUGAUACUACACCACCACCAAGUAUGAAGACAUACCCGGUUGUGACGUAGAGGUCAUCUGCUUCAGAGAUCCAGUUCGAAUCACAAUAUCCCUCAAGCACAGCUGGAUGCCCUAAAUAAUGUAUUCCAUAACUCACCGUACCUUUUAGAUAGCGCAAUAUCUUUUCUAGUGCACACCAAUGAUCUAUACCGGGGUUUGACAUGAACCUACUCAAUUUGCUCAUAGCAAAAGAAAUAUCAGGCCUCGUAGCGCUAGCUAAGUACAUAAGGGACCGAUCAUUUGAGAGUAUCUCAAUUUAUCUUUCCCUUCUCCAUUGUUCUUUCUGAGUAUCACGCUGGGGUCAUACGGUGUUGGUGAAGGUUUGCUGUCAGUAAAACCAAAGCGACUCAAGACCUUCUCAACAUAGUAGGAUUGCAACAAAGUAAUUACACUCUCAUCCUUAACUGGCUUAAUGUUAAGAAUAACAUCAGCCUCUUCCAGAUCUUUCAUAUCAAAGAAAUUUGAUAGAAACAACUUGACCUCAUUUAUCACUUUUAUGUUUGUACCAAAAAUCGGAAUAUCAUCCACGUACAAACACAAAAUAACACGUUCGGCCCCACCAUGGCGAUAGUACACACAUCUAUCAGCCUCAUUAAUGACAAAGCCUGCGGAAGUUAAAGUUAUGUCAAACUUCUCGUGCCAUUGCUUAGGUGCUUGAUUUAGUCCAUACAAAGAGUUUAGUAACUUGCACACCUUUCUCUCUUCACCCUUUACCACAAAUCCAUCUGGCUGAUCCAUGUAAAUUUCCUCUUCUAACUCUCCGUUAAGGAAAGCUGUCUUUGCGUCCAUUUGAUGAACGAUAAGACCAUAGGAGGCAGCCAGGGAUAGUAGUACUCGAAUGGUAGUAAGCCUAGCAACGGGUGAAUAGCUAUCGAAGUAAUCUUCGCCUUUUUUCUGAGUGUAGCCUUUCGCCACAAGCCAUGCCUUAUACUUUUCAAUAGUACCAUCAGGCCUUGGCUUCUUCUUGAACACCCAUUUGCAGCCUACUGGAUUACAACCGUGGGGUCGUUCAGAUAGCUUCCAAGUCCCAUUAGAAAGAAUGGAGUCCAUCUCACUCUGGACAGCUUCUUUACAGUCAUCUGCAUCCAGAGAUGCAUAUGCCUCUGCAAUGGUUUUGGGAGUAUCCUCCACAAGGUACACAAUGAAGUCAUCACCGAAGGAUUUUGCAAUCCUUCGUCUCUUACUCCUGGAAGCAGCUACAUUGUCAUCCUUCUCAGCAUCAUCCUUGGGAUGUUUAGAUUCACUAUCAAAUGUAUUAGAUUCAGGUAUGCUAGACUCAGGAAAUAUUUCAGAAGAAACUCUAGCAAUGCUAUGCAUAUCUUUCAUAAGAAAAAUAUUCUCAAAGAAUGUUGCAUCACGAGAUUUCAUAAUAGUAUCAACAUGCAUAUCAGGUACUUCGGAUUUAACUACUAUGAAUCUAUAGCCCAUGCUCCGCUGAGCAUAGCCUAGAAAGAUACAAUCCGUUGUCUUCGGUCCGAGCUUGCGUUUCUUGGGAAUUGGAACGUUGACUUUCGCCAAACAUCCCCAAGUGCGCAAGUAAGAAAGUGAUGGUUUUCUUCCAAUCCACUCCUCGUAGGGGGUAUUCUCUUUAUUUUUGUUUGGAAAUUUAUUCAGGACAUGACAUGAAGUCAGUAGCGCCUCCCCCCACCAUGCCUUAGAUAAACCGGCAGUGGCUAACAUGGAAAUCACCAAGUCAGUCAACGUGCGGUUUUUCCUCUCGGCAACCCGCUGUUUGAUUGGGGAGAAUAGGGAGGCGUCCUCUCAUGAAUAAUACCAUGUUCCGCACAAAACUCAUCAAAUACAUUGGAGAAAUACUCGCCACCACGAUCCGACCUAAAACGUUUGAUCUUUCUCUCCAAUUGAUUUUCAACUUCAGCCUUAUAGAUUUUAAAGUAGUCUAAAACCUCAUCUUUAGUUCGCAACAAAUAGACAUAGCAGAAUCUAGUAGUAUCAUGAAUUAAUGUCAUGAAAUAUCUCUUUCCACCUUUUGUCAACACACCAUUUAUCUCACAAAGAUCAGAAUGUAUGAGUUCUAGAGGUGCCAGAUUUCUCUCCUCGGCCGCCGUGAGGGGCUUUUGAGGUUGCUUUGAUUGCACACAACUAUGGCACUUAGAACCUUUGGCAAUGGUGAAAGUAAAAAUUAAACUCAUAGUGGAUAGCCGAGAAAUUAAAACAAAAUUAAUAUGACAUAAACGAGAGUGCCAAAUACUUGCAUCAUCAUUAACACUGUCACAAAUAUGGUUCACUGACAUGUCACUAAAAUCAGGAAGAGAAAAAUGGAACAAGCCUCCACACUCAUAGCCUUUACCAAUAAUUGUCCUUGUUUGGAGACAACUACUUUAUUAGACUCUAAAACUACCUUAAAACCAUCUCCGCAUAAAAGGGAACCGCUAACGAGAUUCUUGUUCUUGGAGGGGACAUGCAUCACGUUCCUUAGCCGCAUGAUCUUCCCCGAAGUAAACUUCAGAUCGAGCGUACCAACACCACGAACAGCUGCAUGCGACCCGUUCCCCAUCAAGACGGUUGAAUUCCUUCCAUGCUGGUAAGAAGUUAACAAAGAGAUGUCAGAACAUACAUGAACAUUAGCGCCCGUAUCAAUCCACCAACAUGGAGAUUGAAAUACUGAAAUAACAGUAGGUAAAAUACCGUACGUGUCAGUGUUGCUAGCGGUCAAGAUGUUGACAGUCUUCUGCCACUUUUUCCCUCUCCGAUCUGCACGAUCAGGACAGUCUCUGGAAAAGUGGUCGAGCUCUCCACAGGCGAAACAAUUCAACUCGCCUUUGUUUACUUUCUUCUUCUUCUUGAAGGUAGUGGUCUACGCAGGCUUGUUGUUGUUAACAACAGCGGACUUCUUCCCUUUGUUCUUUCUGUUGCCGCGAAAUUCCUCUGUACCAUAUUGGCGUUAGACAGAAAAUCAGCAGCCUUCUCAGUGGUGUCCUUAGCCCGAGCUUUCUCUUCAAUAUCAAGGGAUGCUAUCAGUUUUUCAACUGAUAUAUCCUGUCUCUUGUGUUUCAGAGACGUGGCGAAGUUCCUCCACGCAGGAGCUAACUUUGCAAUAAUGCACCCAGCCACGUACUUGUCGGGCAAUUCACAGUUGAGAAGUUUGAGCUCUCUCAAAAUGAUCUGUAUCUCAUGCUAUCGGGGGGAUGACCCCGGGUAGGGUCAUGGCGACACAAGUCUAGCCGAGAUGACGGAAGCAAUGCUGGCAUAGUUAUAUAUGCCGGAAUCGUAAAGUCAAAACUAAAACUAAGCCGGCAUCCCGGGCGUAUGCCGGCAUAACUAUUUUGUCUUAUGAGUUUGCAGGAUAAGGACGAGCACCUUGAUCUCAGUGAUUGCCGAGAUCUCUCAACAGUCUUAUCCUGACCACACGGUGCAAAGUAAAGCAGAGCCAUCAUCAUCUUAGAAAAGCAGUCAGCGCCUGCGUACCGGCGUCAGGCGACUGCAGAGAGGAAGCACCGAAAGAGAAUCUCUGACGAAAGCCGGCAGAGGAUAGCGGUACUUUCUGCAGGGUGACAGGGAAAAGUUAAGUUGUCUUGUCCCUUGCGGUGCUACCGGGAGGGAACCAAGCCGCGUGCCUGGCGGGGCUCAAGGAAGAUGGCGUUAGACUCAGCCCACAUGGCAGUGUGACAUGGGCGGCCUAUAAAUAGAACCUUGCCCCUCUGUAGGAAGGGACGGUGCACUUAUACAACUAGGGUUUCCCCUUCUUCUUCUUCUUCCUCAAGGAUACAGCUCAAGGAGCGACAUUGUUGAGCUUGCCUAUCUCGGUUAAUACAACCAAGCAGGAGUAGGAGUCUUGCCUCUGCAAGAGGGCUCCGAACCUAGGUAGAUCCGUGUGUGCUUGUGUGAUUUGUGUGUGUUUCCCUUCACGUCCUCCCUCCUCCGGUUCCUCCUUCGUCCAUCGGCCCCAAGUUAAGCCAUCCUAUGGCAUCUGCCGUGACACCACCACGACACAUGCGCCUGUUCAACUACAGAACGGUUAUCCACCAUCUUGUAGUCAUUCAGCGACUCCAUGGUAUACAGUUCACUGCCUGCAUCGGUUGCACCGAAUUUAGCAUCCAGUGCAUCCCACAGCUCCUUCCCGUCUUCUAUGUGCAUAUACACAUCACAAAGACGGUCAGAAAGAACACUCAUAAUGCACCCUCUGAAGGCAACAUUGGCAUCCUAGAAAUUUUUCUGAGCUUCCUCAGAUAAAUCUCCCUCAGGUUUGCCGUCUGUCACCCAGAGUACUUUUAGAGUCUGCCACCAGAGCAUGGCCUUUAAUUGCCAUAUCUUGAAGUACAUCCCGAAAAUUUAUCCGGCUUCAAUGCAUUGGCUAAACCCAUAUAUAGUUAAAUCAGGAAAUUGCCUACAAUAAGGUUUUUGGAUUGUUGAAAAUUAAGCAAUUUCGAGAAUAACAAUUCAAUGAAUAAUUCCAGAAUAUAGAUCAUGACGACAGUAGCAACUAACAGAUGCAUCUAAAAAACUAGAAGUAUUAAACAACCCAAAGAUCAGCAAUAUGAACUCGCAGAUCAUAGCUAAACUGUAGAUUGGAUCACGGAUUACGUACUGUCGAGGUGGAGAAGCCGUUGAUGUUGCGUUAGCUUGACGAAGUUGUUGACGAAGAAGACGGCGGCGCGUCGCGCACCCUCCGGCUCGAGGAGGUAGACGACCCGUUGUUGCAAGGAAGCGAGCAGUCGUGCGGAGCGCUUCCCAAAAACUUUAUUCGCCCUCUCCCGUACAGGAUCACAAAGGCGAAAAGUUCCGGAGACCUGCUCUCCCGAUUGCUAGUGCACGGCGGCGCUCGGGAUGGAGUAGAAUACGACAACAGCGCAAAAGCGAGAGACAGGAGAAACCCUAACUCGGUUGUGUGGUGUACCGACCGGAGACACGACACGACACGGCUCGAACUCGAUCGGAGGAGGAGGAGGAGGAGGAGGAGGAGGAGGAGGAGGAGGCGAGGCGAGGUGAGCGGAGGAGGAGGAGGAGGAGGAGCGCGCGUGGGGAUUUUCUUUACUCACUUGCUUAUUAGGUGAGAAGCAACAUCACUUAUAUGUUGGUCUCUCUCACUCUAAAUUAGCAAGGUGAGACUAUUUUCAUCCCCACUUCAUGAAUAGAAUUUGAGAUUUUUUCAGAAUUUAUUAAAACUUGAACUUGGUCUGAUCAGACGAAUUAAUGCAUGUACGAGUAUUCAUUUUCGUACGUUUGCAUUUAAGUCCGCACUUUGUUUUUUUUCCUUGAUGUAUGAAUAUGUCUUGGGCGUACGGUUAAAAGAAUGGUGAUGUGCAUAGCAUGACACAAUUCCGGUCAACAGCAUGGUGGGCUGGGACUGGGCCUCUUCUCCACAUGUCAACCAUCUCCAAUGGGAUACACCAAAGUUAUCCCAAAUGGAAAUAUUGGCUCAAAAAACAGAUCCCAAUGGAAUACCUCAAAUAGACAAAUUGGUUUUUUUGUCUGGACAGAUCCCUGUCCGUUUGUCCGUUUGUCCGGGCCUGGCCCACUGUUUUUUCCGCUCGUGCGCACCUUUCCCUUCUCUCUCGUCUCGCGUGCGCGGUGGCCCACAGGAGCCCCUCGCAGCUCCCGCCGACGAGCAGCAGCCUCGAUCUCCCUCCGCGCGAGCCGCCACGGCCUACCUCGGCCAUGGAUCGGUGCCUGCCUCGCCGGAGACCGCGCCCCAUGCCUCGACCGUCUCGGCGGCGUCCUCCUCAGCUCCAGAUCGAUGCAGUGCCCGGCUCGCGGAGGGGGCGGGUCGACCUCCUUGUUGGCCACCUCUACUCGAGCCUCGCCGCCAGCCAGCUUCACCGCGCCGCGCCGCUCGCCUCCCUCUGGUUCCUCCCUCGCGCGCCUCCUCCGGUCCCUCCUCCGGCUCCACGACACAGCACCGAGCAGCACUAGUGACUCAUGGUCGAGGAAUCCCCAACGGAUCAGGUUCCUCAACAACUUCUCGUGCGGUUCACGAUUACGUGUGUGUGCACAACUCUACCUCAUCUCACUGGAAUAAAAUCGCUUUACAUGGGUGUUAAUCUUGUAGGUUUCUUCCUGGCUGCGUUGAUUGAUUCAUGGAAUCUAGAAUGUUGCAGAGUGGACAGCAGCUCACUGAAUAUAUGGGCUUGUGCUAUGUUCAUGUUGAAUAGAAUAUAGGUCGAUGUGGAUAAAUUUUGCUUUUAUUUUGGGGAGAUGGAGACAAAAUUCUGACGUCACAACUCGAUGUUUUCUUGUACCAAAAUACAAAUUAUAAGCGCUGAUAUAAAAAUAUUCUAACACAUUGUUUAAAAUUUGGGACUGAGGGAGAAAAAAAAAAAACGAAAAAAAUUUGGAGGAGGAAUUUUGGGACGCCAUUGGGUGACGAGGACGGAUAGCGGAUGAACACAUGUCCGCUUGCUUCCCAAACUGAAAAAAACAAAGACAUUUUACGGCAAAAUCUGAGGAUCCGGAGAUGCUCUCUCGCCUUGCGCCGCUGUUCCGUUCACCGGAAUUUACUCCCUUGCGUAUGCGCCUUUUUCAGGUGGAAGUGACCGGACAUGACUACACCCUGCACGGCGAAAUACGAAGGGAUGCAUGUCCUAAUCGGUAGGCUGUAGAUGCAUGUCAGACGACUACGUGGAGGCCAACCCCGCGACUGUGUGAUGAGUCGCAGCAGGCGGCAACUACUCUACACAUUGCCCUGCUGGAUUCAUUUUGACCGUGAUGAUGUCGUCCUGGCUGUAGAGCAGUUCCGGCUCGGACACACUCACACAACGCAUCGAUAUUGUUGGAACGACUCGUUUUCAUAUGAACUGACCCAAAACAAUACUAGUACUACGUUGGUGCAGCCCUCAAACUGGCUCUCUCGACCGCGAGGAAAGCAAAGUUGGUGGAUCAACAAGCAAGGUAAGGAAAGCUAGAUAAAAUUUCAUGCUAGCACAGUCCGAUCACAACCAUGAUGAGGUCGAUUCCUGUGUACAGCUUUUCUCGGUAAUAGAAGAACUUGCCAUUCUCUAGUUUGUUGCGCGUUAAAAAGAUUCUUCAACAACUCCCCCUGUUUGAUUUCACUGCACUGUAAAUAUUUUUCGGGGGCUACCUUUUGGGUUCUUGGAUGCGCUCGUACCGAGCUAGUAAUUUGUUUUCACCUGGAAUUCUUGUGUGGCGCCUGAUGAGGAGUGGCAGGACGAGCACAUCUAUACAAGUGGAGUGGGGAAGUGGCUAGGGACAGAUCCGUCUUAAGGUCGAUACAGGAGUGGGACAUCGGCGACGGCCAUGGAUGCCACACCGUUGUUGCACGCGUGCUCGGCGAGGCCCGCGGUGAAUAAAUCGGGCAUCGGAUUUAUCGAGGCUCGAGCGCAGACGAGGCAGGGAAUCCCAUGCCGAGCUGUCCGUUCGCAGAGGGGCGGGGCGGCGUUGUUGUCAAUGAGGCUUCGGGAGACUAGGAAGAGGCGGCGUGAUGUCGCCGGCGAACUGGGGAUGAAAUCGGGUCGGCUGGUCUAGAUAGCUGUGCCGGCUGGGUUCCUUGUCCAUCUCAUGUUCUGCAUUGCAAAUUCUCAUCUGAAUCUGAUUAUGUAGUUCGUAUGUAUGGUAGAUUGCAUCAGUUUCAAUCGCAAAUCCUCUCAUUGUAUCCGGUCAGAUCAUCUUACAGGUUAACAAGAGAAGUAAAAAUGCAUAUUAGAUCGCAUAAAUCAGGCCAGCUACACGUCUACGUAUUGUUCAUGACUUCAUAUCCAGCCACAAAUUUGACUAGAAUUAUUAUUUGCACUGCAGGUCGGCAAAAACAUGGGCGCACCUUGUGAAAGAUGCAAAUGGCAUGAUGAACAGGAUUACCGGGAUUUGGAUGAUCGAGAAAAACAUUUCUUGAUGUUUUUGAUGGGUGAUUUUCAACAUGAGAUGGUAACUGAUGACCAAUAUAUAUUCAAUUAAAGUACCACUCCCUUAUGACUUAUGUUAUAACGCUAGCUAAAUACCCCUGCCACUAUGGAUCGAACUUACAAAAGCAAUUGUGUUUACCCAUUUAGGAUGCUGUCAAAUUAGUUUGUGGGGAGCUUCAUCCCGUAUCAGUUUGUUACUUAUAUUUUGUUAGAGAUCUUCUAGCAAGGUGGGGAAAAUUGUGGGAGGCAUGGAUGAACUGUGGGGCUGUGGCUCACCAACUCCUAUUUAUAAGUAGUAUACAUAUAUGAUUUUGUUGGCUUUCUAAGCACGGUCUUCACAAUUUAUGGUCAUUUCUCAUGGUAAUUUGGUGAAAGAAUUCAAGCCACUGGCAUGAAACCAUUUGGUCAUAUUUUAAAGUAAAUAUAUCAUGUUUUUCUCAUCUUUCUUCCAAAGAUGCUAUGCUUUUUUACCAUUUUCUUUAAUUUGCUAUGUAUUCAGACAUCAAAGAGACAAUGACACGCUACGGUUACAGCGAGUUUCUUUUGGAUAUUGUUCAUAAGCUACCCUUUUGCAAAUAAAGACUUUCAAAACUUGUUUCUGCAGAUCGUCCCAGAAGAAUUUGUGCAGCGUUUGAAGGGCGAGAUUCGAGGAGAGAUCAAACUGGAAACGCGCAAUGGAUACAGUUAUACUGUUGGAGUUUCCAAGAACCAAGAAAAGGUUGUCUUCAUGGCAGGAUGGGGUCAAUUCGUUGAAAACUUUGAUCUUCAGAUGGGUGAAUCCAUAAUAUUCAGAUACAAUGGAAGCUCUCAGUUUAGUGUCGUAAUGUUUGACAAACUUGGCCGUGAGAAAGCAUUAUCUGUCAUUGCGGAUGCUUUGCCGCCUCGUAUACAAGAAAGGCACACAGAUGCUACUGAAACCGUGCACAACAAAGGCAAAAACAUGGGUGCACCUUGUGGAAGAUGCAAAUGGCGGGAUGAACUGGACUACCGGGGGUUGGAUGAUCGAGAAAAACAUUUCUUGAUGUUUAUGAUGGGUGAUUUUCAGCAUGAGAUGGUAAGUGAUAACCCAUAGUAUAUUCAGAUUCAAUUAAAGUACCACUCCCUUAUGUUAUAACACUAGCUAAAUACCCUUGCCUUGCUGUGGAUCAAAUUUACAAAACCGAUUGUGUUUACCCAUUGUUGUCACUCCUUUCUAUGCCACCCAACUCAUCCAAGUUCCAUCGUGCUACACGUCAUGCUCCAUGCGUUCUCGUUAUAUAUAUACCUGUAGGAUUUUGUCAAAUUAGUUUGUCGGUCUUUCGCAAAUUAAAAAGUUGUCGGAAGCUUCAUCCCAUCUCUGUUAGUUAUUUCGUUAAGAGAUCUUUUAGCAAGGUGGGGAAAAAAUGUGGAAGACAUGGUUGAACUGUGACUAACCAACUCCUAUUUAUAAGUAUAGUACAUAUAUGUUUUUUUGGCUUUCUAAGGACCAGUUACAUUUGUAAUUUCUACUUUAUAGGUCUUCAUAAUUUAUGGUCAUCUCUCAUGGUAAUUUGGUGCAAAAAUUCAAGCCACUAGCAUGAGACCAUUUGGUCACAAUUGAAACUAAAUAUAUCAUGUUUUUCUCAACGUUCUUAGUUUUCUUUCUUCCAAAGAUGCUAUGUUUUUUGUUUCAUUUUCUGUGAUUUUCUAUGUAUUCAGACAUCAAAGAGACAAAGAUACACUAUGAUUAUAGUGAGUUUCUUUUGAAUCUUGUUCAUAAACUAUGCUUUGCAAAAUCUUUCGAAACUUGUUUCUGCAGAUCGUCCCACAAGAAUUUGUGCAGCGUUUGAAGGGCGAGAUUCGAGGAGAGAUCAAACUGGAAACACGCAAUGGAUACAGUUAUACUAUUGGAGUUUCCAAGGACCAAGAAGAGCUUGUCUUCAUGGCAGGAUGGGGGAAAUUCGUUGAAAACUUUGAUCUUCAGAUGGGUGAAUCCAUAAUAUUCAGAUACAAUGGAAGCUCGCAGUUUAGUGUCACAAUCUUUGACAAACUUGGCCGUGAGAAAGCAUUAUCUGUCAUUGAGGAUGCUUUGCCGCCUCAUGUACUAGAAAGGCACACAGAUGCGACUGAAAAUGUGAGCCGCUCUCAUGGUUAUCCUCAGGCCAUGCAAAUGCAAUUGCCUAACGAUGCCAUGAACCGCUUUUGUGUUCAUUGCCAGCCAAUGCAAAUGCAACCACAUGCUGAAACCAUGGACCGUUCUCAUGGUCGUCAUAAGACCAAGAAAAUGCAGUCGCUCACUGAAACGGUGACUCAAUCUCAAGUUCAUCCUCAGCCUAUGCAAAUGCAGCCCUCUAGCAAAACUGUGAACCGUUCACCAAUGCAGAUGCCACCGAUGAAAAGACAACGACGGCUUCAAAGGAAUAAGUCAAAUCAGGGCAACAAGACCGCGUUGAAAUCUUCUUCCUCUGAGUCAUCUGGUCUCAGUUUUUCUUCAUACAUAUAUGUUUCCUUGCAAAUUAUAUCUGUUACUUAUCUUUUAUAGCUAUAUUUAGUAGUUGUUCUCUUUUCUAGGCACAGGAGAUUCUUUCUCAUCUGAAGAGGGUCAUGCUGCUGUGCCUUGUUACAAUUACGCUGUCGAGAAAAAGGAUAAAAUGCAUCGAGUUCAGAAGGAGCAGUUGAAGGAUGGUUACAUUGCCACACGUGUGACCAAACUAACUCCAAUUCAGGCGGAGCAGGUGAAGAAGGAGGUCCAAUGUUUGCACUCAGACAUCCCCAUCUUUGUUGCCGUGAUGAGCAGAGUCAAUGUUGUUUCAGGGUUCCGCCUGGUGAGUUCCAUAUUUUAUUUUUGAACGUGUGUCAUGCUCAUGCUUCGAUUAUGCGCAGAUAUGUUUAAACUGCUGUUUAUUGAGAAAAACACUAGUCUCAAUGGUAUAAAGUUGUUCCCCUGUCAUAUGUGAAGCAGUUGCAUGUUAUUUUACUCACAACACGCUUCAAUGAUAUUUUGUACUGACUCUUUUGCUCAAAUAUGUAAAUAGACUGUCCCCAACUGGUAUGGUCAGAAAUAUCUUGGAGAUGAGCAGAGCGUGUGGCUUCAGCGACUUGGUGAGAACUGGCCAGUAAAUCUUCGUGGCAGAAGUCCUGGAUUGCUCAUCGACAGAAGGUUUGAAAAUGGAUGGCAAAAGUUUGUCGAAGAAAACGAUAUUAAGAUUGGUGAUAUAUGCCUAUUUGAACGGUUGAACAAUCAGAGGUGCACGCUGAAAGUCCAUAUCAUCAGUGCAAAGGAUGGCAGUUGUUGCUGAAUUCCGUGAUGUCGGUACGCCGCACCAUUAAGGCCCCGCUUGGGAGCAUUGUAAAAACUUCCACCCGUAGAUGCUUACGGGCGCAAAUCUGUGUGUACGAAUGAAACUCCUGUAAUUUAUUUUCCUUGUAAACCUGAUGUUUGGAAGAAAACGAUGGAGCAGAAGUUGAGCUACUGUAUCCAUGAAGUACUUGAAGAAGCCAGCUUGAUGAAUGUGGCCGCACUGUCGUCGAGCACCAGCAGGAGCUGGACGGAUCCACGGAGGAGCGGACGAGGCACCGGCAAGCUAGGGUCGAAGGAGAGCGACGCUAGGUGCGCACCACUCGAAGACCCCGCCGGCGGCGGAGGGCUCCGCGGCCGUGCGGCGAUUGCGGCAGACAUCGCGAGCAGACCCCGCCGGUGCGCGCUUUCUAGGGUUCUUUCCCGUCGCUGGCGGCGCCCGUCGUCUCUCGAUAAGUCCAUGAAAGUUUUUCGGACCUGCCCACCUCCGUGGUUGUUUUCGGAAAGAAAAACGAAAACGCCCAUCCAAGCGGGAUUUUGGGCUUGGGGCGAAUUUUUUUCCAGCCCCCACUAAUAUGCCGGUAUUUUCGCUCGAAACCAGGCUUCCAAUCAGGCCCUAAUGCUUUUGUGUUGUCAGUGAAUUCCUGGUAAUGCUGAUAGUGCUUUCGUAUUGGCUAGUACGUACAUUCCUGGUAAUGGUGAUGGUGCUUUUGUGUUGGCUAGUAGAUUCCUAGUUAAUUAGUACUCCUAGAUGACUACUUCACCUGCAUGAUGAUGGAACUUGCUGUAACAUAUUGUUGAUGCAAUGUUGAAUUCGAAAUGUCUCUCUGUUUCAUUGUAUUUUUGGACUCCCCUUUCCUUGAAACGAGUCGCUGGGACGUCCCAGAGGCAUGUCAGCCCGGCUGCCGUAAUAGGCUGUCAGGGGUGGCAUGUUUUUAGAACGUCACAGCUAUUGCAAUUUGAAAAGGGGAGAAAAGAAAACUUUAAAGGCGGCCAGAACAACUGGUAAUGUACAGAUGUGGUGUAACUUACGGGCCUGCUUGGAUGGCCGUUUUUGGGCUCAUUACCGGUGUAACUUACAGAGCCCAGAAAAUUUCCGAUCGUGAUCCAAAACGGAUUGGUUAGUUGUUUCAAGAAUCCUUUUCCGCUCGUAUUGCCCUGAGAUGCACGAGAAAGAUUACAAAAACCUCCUCAGGCCCGGAAAGAAAUACGGAAGAACCCUAGAAAUCAUGGAGGCUUGUGCGAGGCGGCGGCGCGCGUCGUCGGCGAGGCAGAUCUGCCCCCGCCUCCGUCGGGAGCCGCUGCUCUCCUUGCCUAGCUAGUUCUGUCCCCUUCCUGUGCUCCCCCGCUAGCGAUGCCUGCCAUCGCCGCCGCACGCCAUGUGCGCCGGCAGAGCUGUCCGCCGCCGGCUGGUGGGUUCUUCAAAUGCUGCGUGGAAGCUCCUCCGCUGGAGCUUCCUGCUGCUGCCGUGCGGAUCCGUAGAGCUCCUGCUGGUGCUUGACGAAGGCCGAAGCUAAUCGACGCGAUACGGCCGCGCGGCGCGCAGCUCCUGUUCUACCAUUAUCUCCCAAACAUCAGUUACACGGGGAUUGAAAUUACAGGAGUUUUAUUGGUACCGGAGAUUUACACCUGUAAGCAUUCACGGCUGGAAAUUUUUACAAAGCUCCCAAGCGGGGCCGUACUGUUUCAUUUCUGUACUGCUGUUGUCGUGGUUCUUAGUAUUUGCAUGUUCUCGAAGAACACAAGAAUGAGUAGGCAGAAGACGUUGCCGAAUAUUGAAGGUGUACUGGCAGAAAUCAAGCUAAUCGGGUACAUAUGGGAAUUGACAAACUAUUUAUUAGUCAAGUUGCUGUUAACUUUGAAGCAAGAACAAAAUCUGCAACAGCUCAUUUGGUAUCCUCGUUUCAUUAUUAAUUCUUUUAUAAGAUUAUUAAUUCUUUUAUAAGAUUUCAUUUGGUUGAAUUUGAUUCAAAAUCAUAUUUGUCUGUCACAUGAAUCUGUAGAAUGAGCGACAGAUUCAAAGAAAUGAUGUCUUCCUAGAAAGAAAUUGAGGUUAGGUGUAGGUAUGAUUUCAUGGAAAUUGAUAUUGAAUUCAUAUACCCAAUUUUGUGUCGGCAAAACAAGUUGGUUUCUGCAAUCCAAAAUGAAUUCCACGAUUCCAGUCUCAAGUAUGUGUUGGCUAGUAGAUUCCUGGUUAAUUAGUAGAUGGCUACUUCACCUGCAUAAUGAUGCAAGUUACUGAAACAUACUGUCGAUGCAAUGUUGAACUAGAAAUGUCUCUUCUGCCAUGAAUUUCAAUUCGUUUGCUUGCCUUGUAUUGUUGGACUCCUGUUUCUUUGAAACGAGUCGCCCGGACGUCCCGGAGGCAUGUCCGCCAUGAGUAAUAGGCUGUCAGGGGUGGCCAUGUUUUUAGAACGUCACAGCUAUUGAAAAGUGGAACAAUCGGUACUGUACAGAUGUGUCGGAUAUCUGCUGUUUCCACUGUUUCAUUUCUGUAGUGCUGUUGUCGUCUUAGUUAUUUGUUUGGUCACCGAUAGCACAGAAAGGAGGCAGAAAGCUAAUCCGGUGCAUAUGGGAGUUAACAAACUGAAGAGAUUCGAUAGCACAAGAAUAGGGAGGCAGAUUAGCUUCGGUGCAUAUGGGGAUUAACAAACUGAAGAGAUUUAUUAUCGAGAAGCCGCAGUCUGGUUUAUGAUCACCUCAUUGAUCAUAUUCAAAUCCCUUUUACCUUUGGGUGGGUAUGGGACUCAUGUUGUCACCUUAAACACAAAAUCUUCAUCUGGCUGUUACUGAUUAACAGACUCAAUACCAAAGCUAUGCUGCAUCAGAAAAAUUUCCAUCUCCCCUCGUAUGAGUGUGUCCUCUAUCAGGGGAUAUAUAUGGAGACUAGGGAUCACAUAUUUUUCACCUGCACUUUUGCUCUUGCCUGCUGAAGAUACAUAUGCCCUCAGUUUGCUCCAAAGCAGAAUGUUCAUCAGAAGUUCAGAGAACUCAAGCGACUGCUCCACCUGCCAUUUCACACGGAGAUUUCCGCACUUAUUUGUUGGAGCAUUUGGAGAGUGUGGAAUGAAUAUAUCUUCAAUAAUAUAAGCCCCUCACUCUUUAGGUGUCGGCAGAUCUUUAAGGAAGAGCUAAACCUUGUAUUUCAUAAGGCUAAGAGAAUGGAGUAUCAUCACUUUCAGAACUGGAUUCAUUCAUUUAGAUAGAUAGCCAUGAUAACUUUUGGUUAUAGGCUAUUUUUUUCGAAAAGGAGGGAAACCCCCUGGCCUCAGUUAUCGGCUAUUGUACAGUGUAUUUGCUCACCUUUUUUUAAAUAAAAUUUGCAGUGGAUAAUUGAUCUAUUGUUUUUCCUAAAAAAAACUUUGAGGCAGAAUUGUCGUCGCAAAGCACACUUUAAACAAGUUCGUCGCCAGCGGGGAUACCUCCCUUUUCUUGCUGUCUCUUUGGUCGAUUUGGAAGGAGCGCAACAACAAAAUUUUCAAGGCCAAGAGCAGCCCGGCUGCUGGGUUUGUGCUGGUGAUUAGGAGCGAGGCAGCUCUUUGGCGCAUGAUUGACAUUGGUGCCUUGCUUUCUUGAUCGGAUGACGUUCCGUGAUUUGUGCCUUUACUUUUCAUGUUUUUUCUUUGUUUUCCGCUUUGUGUUUCUUGAUAACUCUGUUUACUCCCGUGGUCGAUCUAUGGUCGACCUCCAUUGAUAUAUAAAGAGCACGUCAUGCUUUUUUGUCAAAAAAAGAGAGAAAAUGUUGUAUUAGUAUAAAGAAUAGGAAUAUGAUCCCUGCCUAAAAUACGCAAAAUGUUCUAAACUAUUUUCACAUAUUUUUGGUCCUACAACUGUUGUUUCCAGACACAAUUGGUCCCUAUCCUGGCUGAAGCGGUUCCGGCGCCAUUUUGUCACAUUUUUGCCCUUCCACUGGUGAUGUUGGCAUUCCACGUUGGCGUAUUGUUUACUAAAAGCUUAGACUCCUCCCCCCUCCCCUGACAUGACCUUGGGUUCAUUUCCCUUCACCCCCUUGACCAAAACCCUGGCCGACGAUAGGAAAGGCAGCACCACCGGUGGUUGACCUUACCAGCGACAGCUUGGACGGUGGGUGAGCGGCCGCUGCAUCUCAUCAACACCAUAUGUCGCCAUAUUCAAUGUCCUCCCCUACCUUGCUUCGUCUUGAUCGUGCGUCAGUCGCCGCCAUGUCUAGUGAAGCCGAAGAUGACGAGUUGAUGGUCAUGUUGGCUGAGGAAGAAUCAAGUGGCUUUCCCUGUGGUGAGGUAUGUGUUCCCUAUAGCUCUCUGAUUUGGGGAUUUUGGGGCAUGUAUUAUGGUUGAGAUUGAGCUCUGAUUUUGAACAGGGCCAAGUUCCCCUAUAGCCCUCAUGGGUUGCCAAGAUUGCCGUGACCAGCUAGAGACACCCCUACAACAAGCAGACAACAGGUCUUCAUCUCCACUGCGAGCGCCUCCAACACCUUCGAGCUUUCAAUUUGGUUGCCGCCGCUCGCUAGGGUUCGGGUCCAACGGGAGGGGGGGGGGGAAUGAACUCAAGGUCGGGUUGGGGGAGUGGGGACGGGUCCAAGCGCGCGGUUAGUCAACAUGAUGCCGACGUGGCGAUUGUAAGGACAAAAUUGUGACACGAUGGCACUGAAAAUGCUUUAGAGCAAGUACAAUAAGAUGACGUAAACAGCUAUAAGAGAUUAAAUAUCAUAUUUUUGCUUAGUUGCAAGAGAGACAAGAUGAGAGAGAUGAAAAGCAAACUGUAAAGUAAGAGCAAGAUACGAGCUCAUAGAAAAUUUGCGAGAGUAAGAUAUAGACCAAGUAUUAGUAGCGUGGUACAUAUUUAAAACUAAAUAAUAUACGCGUCACUAUUGUACUCCCUCCGUUUGGGUAUAUAAGGUUCCUAUUGAAAUUUGUGUCACAAUUUGACCAACGAUUAUUCAAAUUACAUUUGUAUAUGUAUAUAAAAGUUUUAUCAUUAGACAGAGUUUUUCAAUACGAAUUCAGCUGCAAUAAUCUCGUAUUAUUAAUGCACUUGUUGAUCAAAAUUUGGCAUAAAAUUUCGCAUGCGUCUUAUAAACCUAAAAGGAGUGAAUACUGGCUAUAGAUGACAUUGCAGGUCCUUGCUCUCGGCUAGGAGAGGAAAUUGCUCGAGCUGUGAGAGGGAGCAAUUAUGUUCCAUUUCAACGAUUGGAGGAGCAAAAAGUAUAGGAAAAAAAAUCAAAACAAGUUUUGCGUUCUUUUGAACAAGUUAAUUAAGAAAAAGAAAACUUGAUAACGGACACGGCCUAGAACUGCGCCGAGGGUAAAUGCGGUACAGCCUUGGUUGGACACCUGUGCCGAUUGGACGUAACACCGUAACAGUAGGUGGAGUGCGGCGUCUGGGCGGUGCCGGUGCGCAUGCAAGUAACCGCUGGUCCGAUGGCAGGCUCAUCAGAUCGGCGCGGGAGCCAACGAUCUUUAAGGCGCCAUGCCCUCGUCAGCCGGGUCCUCCUCUUGACUCCUCUCUUCUCCUUCUCGGCUUCUCAUUCACGGAGGCAGGAGGCAGCCGUCUCUGCGGUGCGGCGCGGCUGCGCGUGCCAGGUUUCGUCUCCCGUCCUCUUCUUCGUUUUAAGAUUUCUCCAUCUGCCUUUGUCCGGCCGGUCGACGGCUAGGCUGUAAGUCUGUAACACGCGGCGGGGUCGAAUGCUAGCAGCAUCAGACUGGACUCCACACAUUUUUCCUCACGAUUUUCCGUUUCUUUCACGCUUUGUCUAGGAUUGGUGUUCCAAGGUUUCCCGUUCGCAGAGAUCUCUCAGCUCAGCUGGAUCGACUUGCUCAAGGUAAAUCCCUGUCCCGAACUGCGGACCAAAUUGGUUUCGUUAGAUUGUUCCCCAAAUACGGAAUUUUUUUUCUAAUCAUAUCCUUGCUUAGUUCUGGUUACAGAUUAAUUUCACGGCUGUAGCCUGUAGGUCUGCGUAAAAGAUGUGCUGUGAAAGAUGCAAACGGAGGGAUGAACGCGACUACUGCAGUUUGGAUGAUCGGGAGAAAUAUUUCUUGAUUUUUAUGGAGGAUGGUUGUGCUCAUGAGAUGGUAAGCCACUAAGAAAUACGUAUUCAAGUAUACAACAAAUUCCCUUUUUUUUCUUGUCGCAUUCUUGUAUUGUAUGGAAACCAGGUCAAUUAGUUCAACACCCACUACUUUUUCAGACACUAGCUCAAUACCCACGCAUUGUCACGGAACUACAAAAGAAUAAAUCCAGUGACAUGAUGCGUGAGUCUCCAUUCAAAUCCUUUUUUCUUCUUUUCGAGAAGGCAGUAACACCGGCAUUGAUUGACGCACAAAGCCACAAGCCCACAAACCUAUACUGAUACUAUUAAAUCCUGAAAUCCAUCAUCUCAAAAACUGACUUGGAGUAAGAAAAAUAGCAUGAACUAUGUUGUAAGCCUUAAACAAGAUGGUGGAAACCAUAAUGAGAUUGCCCCCCCUUUCAGUGACAUUAGAUGGAGGGGAAGUAGGACGGCAAACAACAUAUAUGUGAUUUGUUAAUGUGUUUUAGAAAUAUUAGUGCUAAGAUUUACAUAUGUGAGCUACAUAUUGUUGUAUAUAUGUCACAUGCAUAUUGUUGUGAAAUGUGAGCUACAUAUUCUUGCAUAUAUGUCAGUUGUACAUAUUGCUGUGAAAUGUGAGCUGCACAUACUGCCGUGAAGUGUGAGCUGCAUAUAUUGUUUGUGAUAUGUGAGCUGCAUAUGUCAUACGUGGGCUACAUAUUGCUGCUUAUAUGUCGGUUACAAAUAUUGUUGUGAGAUGUGAGCUACACAUACAACUGUGAAACGUGAGCUACAAAUUGCUGCAUAUCUGUUACAUGGCAAGUUUUAAAUAAGAUCACUAUUUUAGAAAUUCAAACAACCUCAUUAGAACACUACCACUACUACUACAUAUCUGAGGAUGGAAUAGAAUUCAAUCCAAAUGCAUUUGAUGUAUUACUGCUGCAAAUUAGGUAUAGUAUUCUUUUUUGUUUUGCUGGAAGGUAUAGAAAAUGCCAAAAUGGUAACAUAACAAAGAAUUUACUUGGGGAUAACACUAGAAAUUGUUAAGUGGCACUGUAUUAUUUUUGUGAUAGUAACGUCUUUGUAUUGCCUCUGGAACUUUUUAUUCAUGUGCAUUGAUUUGAUGCCCGAAUAAAAGUCAUUAACAUGAUAGGUGCACCCUAAAUGCUGCGUCAAUGACACUAGAGAACUUACUCUCAGCUUGUUGUCAAGUUUGAUGUCAAAUAUCUAUUUUCCACCAUACUCAUCCAUUGCUGUUUGAUGGUGAACUAUCUGUACUCUUAAGGUUCAAACCAUGUUUUCCUUUCUGAUUCUUGUUUCUGCAGAUUGUUCCAAAUGAAUUUGUGAGACGUUUCAGCGGUGAGAUCCCAGGAGAGAUCGAGCUAGAAACACGAAAUGGUCAGACUUACACUGUUGGAGUUUCCAAGUAUCCAGAUAAACUAGUCCUUACAGCAGGAUGGGGGGCAUUCGUCAAAACCUAUGACCUACAGAUAGGCGACUCUGUGGUAUUUAGAUACGAUGGAGACUCUCAGUUUAAUGUCAUAGUUUUCGAUCGAUUUGGCCGUGAGAAAGCAUCAUCUGUUGUUGCGGUUGCGGACAAUGAUCCUCUGUCCCCACAUGAGCAGGAAAAGAACAGAGUUUCUACUGAAAGUUUGAACCGUUCUCAUAGUUAUCCUCAGCGCAUGGAAGUGCAGUCACCAACUGAAAAUGUGAACCGCUCUCAAGGGCAUCCUCAGGCGAUGCAAAUGCCAUCACCUACUGAAAAUGUGAACCUCUCUCAAGAGCAUCCUCAGCCAAUGCAAAUGCCACCACCUACUGAAAAUAUGGACCGUUCUCAGCGACAUCCUCAGCCCAUGCAUAUGCAAUCACCAACUGGAAAUGUGGACGGUUUUGUUGGUUUAAGUCGUCACAUGGAAGUGCAAUCGCCUACUGAAAAUGUGAACAGUUUUGUUGGCCAUAGCGAGCCGACGCAAAUGCAACCGCCUACUGACACUAUGAAUCACUGUAGUUAUCAUCCUCAAACCGUGCAGAUGCAAUUAUCAUGUAGCCACACCGAGAGACAGUCAAAGCUUCAAAAUGAUUACUCAAAUCAGGGUAACAAGACAGCAACGAGUCCUUCAGGCACUCCCUCUGAAUUACUUCUUGCAAUUUUUGAUCGUAGAGAUAUAUUUCCUUUCAAAUCACACUUGAUGUUGCCAACUUUUAUUAUUAUGCUCAGUAGUUAUUUUGUUUUUGCACACAGGAGAUUCUUUGCCCCCAGAAGAUGAUAUUGAAGUGUGUGAGGAACCUAGAUACAUGCUUGGGAGGAAGAACCGGUUAAGUUCUGCACAGGUGAAGGAAGUUGAUGAGAUGGUCCAACAUAUUCAUCACGAGAACCCAAUCUUCGUGGCCGUGAUGAGCAAGUGCAAUGUUACAGGAUCAUUUCAUCUAGUGAGUGUCAAGUUUUUACUGUUGAAGUCACAUUCUAAUGCCCAUAAAAAAAAGUCACAUUCUAAUACAUUUCUGCAUCAAGCUGUUUCAAUUUUAGCUCUCUGUUGAAAAUGCUAUUUUGAAUUCUUUAAAUUGUUAAUGCUUCAAUGAGUAAAUUUACAAAUCAUAUAUUUUCUACUAUUGAUAAUGAUGUUUGGUUGUUUUGCACUUUGCUACAAUGCUGCAAGCUAAUUUAUUUUGCCUCCAAAUCUGUAACUAGAGUGUCUCCAAACAAUAUGUCAAGAGAUAUAUGGGAAAUAAGGUGCGGUGCAUAUGUCUUCAGCGAUGUGGUAAGAAGUGGGAAGUGCAUUUUGGUGGUAGGCCUGGCGAAAAAAGGAUUGUAGCUGGCUGGCGAAAGUUUGUAAAGGACAAUGAUCUUGAGAUUGGUGAUAUCUGUAUCUUUGAAUUGUUGAAGAAUUACAUGAUGUGCACAAUUGAAGUCCAUAUCAUCCACAUAAAGGAUUUAGAUAGCUCCUCCCAAAAUGGUUGCAACAAAGUCAAGCGCUCUUCUAAAAUUGUGGCAUGUUCUCAUUCUCGUCCUGAGCUCGUGCCUACUCAAACUAUGAAGCAUUCUAUGGUUCGCCCUCAGUCCACACAAACACAAUCACCUCCAAUUAAAAGAAAGAUGCCACUUCAAAGGGUUAAGACCCUAGGCAGAGAAAGUAUGAUGUUUUCUUUCUCACUAGUCAUUUGGUUGCAGUUGCUAUUCAUGCUACUAGAGAUACAGUUCCUUGUAAAUCAUAUCUGGUAUUGUCAUCUUUUAUGGUUACAUUGAGUAGUUGUUUUGUUUGUGCAGGAGAUUCUUUGUUCUCAGAAGAUAGCAAUGGCGAUGUAGACACUUUGACUGAUUACAUUGCUGUGCAUAAGAAACGCCUAACUCCAAUUCAGAAGAGAGAAGUGAAGAAGAUGGUCCAAUCCAUUGAUUCAGAAAUUCCUAUCUUUGUGGUCGUUAUGCACAAGACCAAUGUUACUAGAAGAUUCACUCUAGUGAGUUCCAUAUUUUAUUAGUAAUGCUUGUUCUCCUAGUACAACGACCGUGCAUUAGUCAUCUAAACUUUUCUCAGAUGAAAACAGUAUCUACAAAUGCUAUAGAUUUAUGACCUGGUCUUAUUUUUUUGCGCAAAGAUUUAUGACCUGGUCAUGUGAGUUUACAUUCCUAUGAUCAAUGACAAUGAAGGAUAUAAUAAACAAUUCUAGAGAUACUUCGCUUCCUUAAUUUGCUCGAAUAAGACCCACUAACAUUCAUUUUCUUUGGCAAAUCUGUAACUAGAGCAUCUCCAAGAAAUAUGCUGAGAAAUAUCUGGGAGGUGAAGUGCAGAGAAUCUGGCUUGAGCGGCUUGGCGAGAGGUGUCAAGUGAAUUUAGGACGUCGGCCUCAAGACACAAGGGUUGUAGGUGGAUGGGCAAAGUUUGUGAGAGACCAUGAGGUGGAGGUGGGUGAUAUUUGCCUCUUCGAGCUGCUGAAGAAUCGGGUUUCAUGCACGAUGAAAGUCCAUAUCAUCCGCGCAAAGAAUGUCAGUUGAUCAAUACGCCAUUCCUGUCAUCGCUAAUGAUUUUGGUGUGUUGCUAAGCUGUUGGGUUACUUAGUUUAUGCUUAUCUUUAGUUAAUUUGCUAGCACCUUCAGGUUAAUUAGCUGUUUGUGUAAUAAUGCAGAUGAUUACUGGAACAUGUAUACUGUUUGGAUACUGUACUGAAUCAAUAAUGUUAGUUAAUGGUGGCAGCAGGUUUUCAUCCCAGGGUGGCCUAGUCGAGCCGGCUUGAGUCAUAGUGGGUUUUCUGUUGGUGCGAAAGUCUGAACUAUUCCCUCCCAUCCAUAUUACUUGUCUCGUUUGUUCAAAUAUGGAUGUAUCUAUGUUUAAAAAGCGUCAGACACAUGUAAUAUUUCGACAAUUAAUAUGGAUUGGGAGGGAGUAGCUUUUUCCCACUGCUUGGACUCCAUUGUUUCCGUUUCUUUGAAAUGGAAAUGGGGAUAACCUGGUUGGAAAAGAAAAAAAAACCAGUAAUGUCAGUUUGUCGCAGGAAAUCUCAGUGAUCAUUAGGUGUAAACAGACACAGUGGAUUAUGUGUGCGCUUUAUUUACUAGGAGACCAAAAGAUGUCCAGCCCGCCAGAACGAUGGACAUUUUGGCCUGUAACUCGUGAUAGUUAUCUCCUGCUCCUUCCGUUCCAUAUUUCUUGUUGAAAUAUUACAUGUAUCUAAACGUUUUUUAAAAAUAGAUACAUCCAUAUUUGGGCAAAUUUGAGACAAGAAUUAUGUGAAGGAGGGAGUAACAUUCUCUACCUUGAUCUGAAAAUGAAAUAAAGCAGAAUGGAAGAUCAUCUUAAAAGAGUUCCAAUCUCAAGUUCCUUGUAAGGUUUCCUCUUCAAAUCUCUCCUAGACUCAAUACAGCUGUAACCAUUGUCAAUCGUGAGAGCUAAAACAAAUAUAAAGAUUUUUUAAAUUCUGGUAACAAGCAUAUUCUUAGAUAUUUGUGAUGCGGUACUAAUACUUGAAGUGAGGCUCAAAAGAGAGGAGUUCAAAUUCCAACAAAAGAAAUGAUAAAUAUACAAUAAGAAUUCUUUUGGACCAUCAAACUAGUGUUUCAACUCGCAAUUUUUCAUUAUUUGAAAGUUGCUUCUCAAACUAAAAGAAUGAAGAAAUAAAAAAUCAUUUUCAAAUUACGAAAAAGGAGCUCAGAUGGAGGAAACAAACUGUAGUUACCUCAAGCCAAGACAGCACAAAGAACAAGUGAAAACCGUAGCUUGCCUUCAGCUCAAGAGUUAAUAUAUGCUCAAGACAUAUAAAAGCUAGUAUACUGUAAAACCUAUAAAUUAGUAGUCACAUGACAUGAGAGCCCUUAUGGGGUGAAGCUCAAUCCGAGUCCACCCACCCUUGUUCAAGUCAAAUUGGAAAGCAUGGGGAAUAAGCCUUAUCCCUCAAGUCUCUAAAAAGAUUAAUAGUUCACACAAGCAUGGAUUUAUCUAUCUACCUAUCGUCCUGAGGCUAGGGAGAAGCAAAAACGUUAGUUCUUCUUUGCCUCUUCAUGCAUCCUGUUCAGCCAAUCGAGCCUUCCUUCGUUGGUUUCCAGAGCACUGAAUAGCUCUCUAUAAUCUGCAUUCAUGAACAGCUUGGUGGCCGUGAAAAACAGAUCGCUGCACUCCUUUGCCCCAGAUUGCACAGCCAAUUUGAUGACGUCUUUAAUCCGAUGACCAGUUGGAACAGCACUAGAAGAUGUCCCUGAAGUGCUACCAGCAACUAUGUUUGGCACAUACCUGAACUCCUGGGAAGUAGGGUUCUUUUGUUUCUUCUUUGGGCCAGCAGAAACAAUAGCAUCCCUCCGCUUUUCAGCUUCCUUUGAUUUUUGGCUGGCCACGAUGUUAGUUUCCACAUCAUCAUCGCCAUCCUCGACCUCAAUAAGAUUAGUUAGGUCUUCUAUAUGUUCACCAGGGAUGGCAGAAGUUCCAACCGUCACAUGAGCCUCAUCAAACAUACCAACAAGGUAAGCAAGGUUUUCUGGUGGUCCGUUACGAAACUUUACAGAUUCUGGGUGGACCUAGAAAAAACCAAAUAAAUUGGCUCAAAUUUAGCAGAAGAACGAUUUGGAAAUUACAGGAAAGGAGAUAUGCAUACACUACAUUUGGUGCAUACCUCUAUGUGCUUCACCCACCAUUCGUUGUCAGCAUCUACCGUUCCCAAUUCACUAUUCCAUCGCUGUCCAGUUGCAGCCUUUGUGAAGGCCACCCAAUGCCCAUAUUCUUUCUUCAAAAAAUCCCAUCGAUUUUUGAACUGCUUCCUCUCGUAAUUUCUUCCUGUCCUAGCUAAAAACUUCUGAUGGAGGUUCUUGUAUCCAGUCGCACUCAGAGAUGCCACUGGCCUGUUCCCGGCGCUAACCUCUUCCUUACAGAUCUCACAAAAAACUUUGUGGGCAAACGAAUCCCAACUUGCCUUGGUUUUACGACCUUUCUCCAUCUGCCAUGUCACAAAUUGAAUACUUCAUUGUUGACAAAAGACUAAGAAGUUAUGCAAAAGAAUUAUCCAUUCAUGUUACACAGAUCAUGUAUAAAGAAAAGCAUGUAACCCAAAUCCGUCGGGCUUAUCAUCAACUCCCUCCGUUCCAUAAUUCUUGACGCAAGUUCUUUCUAAAAUGAGCAAACCUACAUGCUAAAACACGUCUAGAUACAUCUGUAUCCAGACAAAAUACAUCCGUAUCUAGACAAAGUUGUGUCAAGAAUUAUGGAACGGAGGGAGUAACUUUAAUAAAAGUAUGACAUAAAUGACAGGUUAUUUUUUCUAGCGUCAACACGUCAGGAAGGUGACACAUACGAAAUGCAUCCAUUUCAGCAUUCACAACAAGCUAGAUAUUGCCACGUGGCAAACGUGGUGAGCUAUCCGAGAAAAUGCAAUCCCACAACCAGAUAGAUAUUCAUGUCCUGUUGCAAUUUGAAGCUACCCACAACCCAUAACCGGGACACACCAGGACGCACUUGUGCAAAACACCGAGUCUAAUUCAGAGUAAUUAUCCAUCAUCCACUACAGCUUAAACAACAACCUCAUGACCACUUGUGCAAAACACCGAGUCUAAUUCAGAGUAAUUAUCCAUCAUCCAUCAGUAGUCGAAUCGACAUCGGAUUAAUUUUUGGUACGAUGGAUGGGGGCGUGAGGUGGGGGUUACCUAGAGGGGUGAGGAAGACAGUCGCGCGGCGAGGAUGGGGAUACGGCGAGGAGGCGUGGCGUAGGGUGGGAGCCGCCGGCGGCCGCCGGCGUCGGGCUGAUGGGUGCCGUGCCGAGUGCCGACCCUAAUCGCACCCCCUUGCAGCUGAGACGUUUUGCCUUUGCCUGCCUUGCUGCAGCCUGCAGACUGGGUCUGGCUGCAGCCCCUCCACUUUUUUUGUUUUGUUCGGGAAGCAUUUGUGUGAUCGACCGUCCAAAGAGCCACGGUCGGUGACCUUACGAUGGCAAUGGGUACCGCGCACCUGGCGGGUAAAUCCACAUUAGGUACGGGUUUGAAACAGAAUUUUAAUCCGCGGUUAUGCAAAUGGAAAAUACUUCAUACCCAUCGGGUAGAGCGGGUACGGAUAUGGGAAUGCAUAACCCAUACCCUUAUACGCAUUUACCCGUAUAAUAAACUCAUACAUGUGCGAUGUGUUGCCAUUUACAGUUUUAAACGAUAUAGUAUUAUCUUUUUAUGUGUUGUUGUUAUUUAUAAUGUGUUAAUAUACUAUUGCUGAUGACAAAAUUGUUGUGGUUUUGAGAAAUAUGAUGUAGUUUCUAAGGAACAUGUUCUUAUUGAUCAAAUUUUAUUAAGGAUAUUUUUAUCCGCGGGUACCCAUCUACCCUGACGGGUGACGGGUAUUGGGAAAAGUUAUAUCCGUUGCCGGGUAUGGGUACGGGUAAGCUCAAAGAGGACGGGUAAUGGUAUGGGAAGGUUCAACCCGUACCCCUACCCUCCGGGUGCCAUCCCUAGUCUUACCACAGGUGGCAGGCACCCUCCAUUCCUCCAACCUCCAUCUGGAUCUGGCACAUUUGAGAAGUUUGAAAUUUAUAAAAUUGAAACGUCAUAAUAACCAUAAAUGACACAUGAGUACUUAUUGUAGUAACGCAUGGUGGAUCGCCUACGAUAUUCUACAACUGGCUUUUGGCGUACUAGAUGAAUAAAUUCAACCGCUUGUAGGUAGCAUACACGCAUAUGUGAAUUACUACUCCAAGGUUCACAAGUAGCACAUAUCAUAAUCAGAUUUCAAUGCGUGUGACAUGACCUUCAAAUUUUACCGUAACGCAUUUAGUAUCACAUGGCGGAUCGCACACAUUACCCUACAAUCCAAGUUGGUUUUUGGCGUGCUAGAUGAAUAAAUUCUUCAAGGUUCACCACUAGCACAUAUGUAUUGGAUUUCAAUGUGUGACCGAGCAUGCGAGGUUUUAUUAGUGAGGUGACAUAUUAGCUAGAAUGAUUUUUCUAGCUAUCGGUACGGGGUUUUAUUAGCUAGUGAUACACAUUUUGUGACAUAUGAAGAGCAAAAACUAAAAAAAAUUAAGAUCAACAUUUUAAAGAUUUGAAUUACUCUCUCUCUCGGUUGCACACAAGCGAACGCAAUUGUCUUUCAUAAUUGACAUGUUUAUUCAUGUACUUGCUUGAAUAACACACAUAGUUGCUCAUAAUUAUUUCUUCCUACUAUGCACUAUGUGUGUUGCACACAUGCACACGCUAUAUAACCGUUCGCACAAAUGCACGGACAUACUAUAAAUAACCAAAAACAGAAACAAUAAUCUGAUCCACAAUUUGUCAAUUUGGUUCUCUUCUAAAAAGAAAAACCUUCACACAUGUACCAAUUAUCAUGCUCUAAACUGGUGGCUAUCUGCAGGCGACAAGCAGCAGCCACGGUUUCCAAGCCCUUCGCCGGCGUCGCCGCUGGCCUGUCCCGUCUCCGAUGGCCUUCUUGGCCUUGAAAUUGCCGCGGAUCCUAGCCGCUUGCCGGCGAAAGGAUCUCCAGUUUCUAGUUUUUGGUUUUUUUAAAGUCUUUUUUGAGAUGGCGAAGCGGCGGGAACAUCUUGCAACUAGAAUAAGGUCCUCUUUGCUUUGUCCUCGCUCCGGUGGUGCGCCUAGCGCCGGUGAAGGCGUGUGGAGCGGUGUGUCUGGCAAAUCUCUUAGGAUUCGGCCGGUUUUUUGGGUUUCUGACGAAUCCCUUGGGUUUCGAUCGGCUUUCGUGCUCAUUUCGUGUUCAUGUAUGGCUCUUCUGACCUAUGAUUCUCAGGUUUCUGCUCUGGAUCUUUGGAGGCUUGGAGCGUUAGCACGAGUACUAUGUACUAUCCCACCAUCUAUUAUCACAUGCUCACUUUUGGCAAGCUAUGUCCUGCUUUUCAGAUGGACGGUGGCCGCCCUUCGGCUCGUUCCAGUGUUUGUUGCCGUCACUAGAUGGUCUAAAGAUCUAUUUGUAAUUUUAUUAUUUUAAAGUUGUUUGUACUGUUGUUGAUGAUUAUUACGAGUAAAAGAUAGAUGAUCCUCUUCGAAAAAUAAAUAAAUUUUCUGGACAUGUAACUUAAAUAAAUCAAAUUACAUGAUAACAAUUUUUUAACAGUAACUACAUGAUAAUAAUAGUGUUACGUAUUUGAAAACAUUUAAAAAAGAUUUUCAUCAGGAGUUAUAUGGAGUGAACGUGUGCGCGGGAGUCUCCGCGCGCGACGCAUCUCCGUCCGUUCGGCCUCCCUCGCGUGAUGUGUGCCUGCGUGUUGGGUGCUGCUGCUGAACGGAGGAGCUGCAUGCUGUCAGGCCUUGUACGUGCAUGCCAUGCGAUGCAUGGCUAGAUAUGAAUACAAAAGAGCACUAGUUGAUUCUGAAGAUUCAAAAUAUUUUGUAGCUCAAAUUACUUGUCUAAUUCACAAUCCGUUUUCACAAAUGUGUUCAUAUCGACGAGGCCUUCAAAAUUAGAUCCCCUUUGAACAUGUUUCGGUACAAUUUUUUUGUGACCCUUUUGUUACCGGAUGAUAAUGCACGAGCUACCAUCUUAGUUUGAUAGAACGUACUACGUGGUAACUUGUUACUACCACGGUGACAACUUUAUAUGUUAUUGGACGGCAACUUUCAUUGUGCCCACCUAUUUUGUAUGAAAGUAGCACGUGGUAAUUUGUAACUAACAAGCUAGGUGGCAACUUGAUAUAUUAGCGGUGAUAACUUCUAAGACGAAGAAAGUUAAUCGAGACAUACCAACAUGAUUCUAGUUUGAAUAUCUCGUCGAGACAAAACUAGCCAUAAGGAUGGAUCGAUCGCAAAUCAAAUACACAAUAUAAAAGUUAGAACAUUUUAACUCUGCCAACGUCUUUUGCCUCUAUCAUACAUGCAUGCCACCGUUCCCGUGCUAUUGGCUUUGGAAAUUGUGAUUAUGUACCAGUCAUUCUAGUGUUUGGGCAUGAAUGGUCUAGUGUGGAGCUUCACUCUAGCACUCGGCGUUUGUUUAAUAUAACAUGCAUACAUGUCUUCAGUACUCCAACAUUUUUUUAGCAUAUCACACGUUAGGCGAUAAUACACAAAUUACUAUAUUACUCUGAAAUAAGUUACCACGUAGUAACUUCUAAUAUCAUUAAGAGGUUACUCUAAUGCAUAAAUGACCAACCUAAUUUUUAUGAAAUUACCACAUGAUAAUUUUGUUACUAAUAUGGGUGGCAAAUUGAUACUAUAUUGUUGGAUGGUAACUUUUAAGAUAAAAAAGUCAUCGAAUCUACCAACGGGAAUGUAUGAGUUAUCAUCUUAUUUUAGAAUAAAUUACCACAUGUUUAUAGUUAACAGGCGGAAAUUUCAUAUAUUAUGAGAUGGUAAUUUUAAUGCAUAAAUCGCCAUCCUAUGUCGUUGUACGAAGUUAGCAUGUGGUAGUAUGUUACUAACAGGGUGGCCACUUGAUAUAUUAUUAGAUGAUAACUUUAUAUAUUAUGAGAUGGCAAAUUUAAUGCAUAAAUCCCAUGUGGCAAUUUGUUAAUGACAAGGAUGGCAACUUGACAUAUUAUUGGAUGGUAACUUUUAAGAUGAAAAAAAAAGUUUGUCGAAACAUAUCAACAUGACACCUAGUUUUGAAUAUCUUUCCGAGACAAAGCUAACGGUGAAGACGAAUUGUAAAUCGAGUAUACGGUUUAUGAAUUAAAACAUUUUAAACACAUGGAUUUUUAUCGAGUUAUACGCAUGCAUGAUACACACUUGUACUCAACGAGUCGUUGUGCUCGUACGCGCCAGAAGACUAGCCCUAUCGUAAAACGAAAAAAAGAAUUCUGAUAUUGUAGAACCCUAAAUAAAACUGUCAGCUGAUAUUCCCCACGAUUGACAGCCGAGUGACACCACAUUAUCGAACACUAGUUCGAGCCGAUAUCGGACUCCAACAAACAUCUGUCCAACCAUAACUCAAGUCUGCCUCCGCCUGAGUCUUCCAUCCUCGCGCUCUCUCUUCUCUGCUCCGCGACUCGAUCUCGAUUCCUCGCUGGGCAUGGCAGCCGUCGGGAUCCCGUUCCACGGUUCGGAAGUCUUAUUCGUUGUCGAUGGCGCCUUCAACUUCGUGUAUCCCGUCCAGCCGGCGCAGAGCAGCGGCCCCGCCGAGAGAAAGAAGCGAAGCCGCGGUGACAGUUUUCUUGUUGACGAAUCUGAGGCUCGUGGGUGGUCCUCGUCAGUUCAAGAUCGCAGCCUGGCGUUGCGCCGUCGGCGAGGUUCGGCUUCCUAUUCUUGUCAACGGGGUUGUGUUAUUGACACGGACUCGCAGUACUGCCGUGGCGGGGAGGAGAGGGCAGUAAAGGGAGGAAUCAAGGUUUUGGAUCAGAAUAUUGUGGAAGGCAAUGGAGACGAGGCACCUAAAGGGGAGGAAUUCUUCUAUAUCACCAUCCUCUAAUGUUUGCUCAUGGGCUUCCGACCGAUCAAAUCAUUCAAAAAACAGGUUUUUUUUUGUUCUUCAUCUAGCUGAUCCGAUCAAUCAGCACAGGCCCAGGUUCAUUCUUUUCCCUUGAUGUGUUUCUUUCAGAAUCUACAAAAAGUUUACGGUAAGUUUUACCCAAUUUUAAAUUUGUUCGUAGAUAAGUAUUAGUUUGAAUUGUGUUUCAUUCAGAAUUACAUUCUAAUACUGGACACACUUAAUUGGAAUCCAUAGUAUAUUUGUUCGUUAUUUUCCCUUGAUGUGUUUCUUUCAGCUGAUAAAAUCAUCUAAAAAAAAGUUUUCGGUAAGUUUUACCCAAUUUUAAAUUUGUUCGUAGAUAAGUAUUUUAAUAGAUAUGACUUAGUUUGAAUUGUGUUCCAUUCAUAAUUACAUUCUGAACACACUUAAUUAGAGUCCAUAGUAUAUUUGUUCCAUCCAUGAUGCAAGAGUACUUGCCUCCUCCUUUUCAGUCAUGGGACACAUACACAUAGAAGCUUAGUUUGUGUUUAUAUAUUAUAUAUGUGUACUGUCCUAUUUCUAUAACUGCAUUUUUCUCUGUUUUUUUUGUUAAUUUUGGAGCAUAUACUAUGGUAUAAAUUAGUGAAAGACGGUGUGUCGUCGAUGGCGAGGUGCAGAACUCUCGUGGUGACGAGGAAGUAUUGGAAGUUCAUCAGAGUAGAAGUAGAAGAUGCAGACUAGGAUGCACUAGAAGCAGGAAAGAUGAGGCUUAUUGUCGUCCUCUAGUCUGAUCUUUAGAAAGAUUUCCUCUGUCUUGUUAUCUUUGAGUCUAAUCGGCACAGAUCUCUUAUAGAAACUUCUUGUAGCUAGACAAGGUCCAAUUCCUGUAGGCUGUAGAAAGAAGUUAUUAGAGACUGUGGCCGAUAAGUUUGGAUGUAUUGAUGCGUUUUAAUAAAUAAAAUUAGCAGAAAAUAAUUGACUUGCAUUGUUCGACCUGAGCCGUCACAUUCUAUAUCAUUCCUCAUCCGCACAUCGUUUCAACUUUCUCUACCCUUGUACGUGGAUAAGCGGCGCCAUGGAGGUUCUGUGGCAUACAUGGAAGAUUCUCCUCUUAUACAUAGUAUAUGUGUUAUCAUGCCAUUCUUUCUUCUUACUAAUGUGUUUUGGGCUUAUCAGGAUCAUGUUGGGCCAGCUGUUCUGCAUGAGCUUGAAUUUUUUUUUUCACUCCUUGGGCCUGCCAUCUCUUCUCUCCGAUCCAAGUCCAAAGACACAUGAAGAAGCUCUUGUGCAUAUUUUUGGGGAAGUAAGGAGGACAACACCGUCCAUACUCCACCUGCCUCAGUUCCAUCUUUGGUGGGAUACGGUUAGUAUAUGAUGUCCAAUGCAAAUAAAAUUUGGCACUAAGAAAUUAUUUUCCUGUACAUGAUGAAUAAUCGAUUAUUUACCUAAUUAAUCGGUCCUUGAUUUAACAGGCACAUGAACAGCUUAGGGCUGUGUGUGUUACUGACCCUGUUGAAUGAGUUGGCAUCCAACCUUCCAGUUUUGUUGCUACGAACAUCCUCAGUGGCCUUUGAUGACCUCGAAGAAGAGUGUGCUUCCGUUUUCUUCCCGUAGUGUGUAUGUUCCUGGACAAUGUUUAUUCCAUUUUGCCUGGGUUUCUUUGACUUAGUUCUUGUCACUGUCCAAGUUAUAUGGAUUUUUGCCUUCUGCACUGAUUUGUUUAAAUUAUUUAUUACUGGUUGAUUGGUUGGGUUUUUUCCUCUUGAUCUUUUGAGCUAUGUGAGUGCUCGAAAUAUGUCAUAGACUAUCCCAUCAUUGUUCUUUGACCAAGAAACUUGGAAACUAUCUCCUUGCAUAGGAAAGGUGUGCUCAACAGGCACAUCAAUGGGAACAAGAUUUGUUUCUUUCUGUUGAUAUGCUUUCUAACUAACUAUACUUCACCGUAUAACACUUUAUGGUCCGAUCAGUGUUGCACGUUUCAUAUCAGUUCAGUGCAUUUCCUCCUACUUAUCAUAUUUUCACAAUGAAAAAUCUUCUGUUUGAUAGUAGAUAUCAAGUGGAUCGGCCGAGUGAUGAUGAUAGAUUAAGAUACUUCAGUAUAUUGUUUGAGUCAUUGUUCUCACGUCAAAUGGAAGACUGAAGACGUAAGUCGAAAGACAAGAAAGCUUCUAUUGAUCUUCCAAAAGCACCAAAGGAUGUAGAUGGUCCUAAGGUUUUCCGAGCUGAAAGCUAAGGCAGAAGCUGAGCAACACGCUGUUCGUCGGAUGAGAAUGUGUCUCCAACACAUUUGUAACCGGUCUGCCAUUUACUCCUUCAGAGUUGCAUAUAUUUCCAGUUCUGUUAAUUUGUUCUUGCCAAAUAACUCUUGAGGUCUUAUGCUUCUGUUAGAGAAUAGUAAAACAUUGCCUCUGUGCUCUACAGUAAUCCGGCCUUUGGCCGAUGCCCAUGCUUAUUUAAACCUUGGGAUACAUUUAGUUGAUCAAAAGAAUGCUAGCAUGAAUUUGCCUGGGCAGUUCCGUUCUAGAUGAAUAAAGCUGUUCCUGGUAGGAUAGUUGAAAAUCAUAAUUAUGUAUGGUCGAGUACCGCUCUUGGUUCUAAUAUUAUCUCCACUACUAAAGAAGGACCUGGUUCAUCAUAAAGGGUGGUGAAAACCGUUAAGCUAAGCUAAUAAUAAGAUGCCCUUUAUGCUGCUGAUGAGCUGAUAUUUCUGUUAUCUUCAGUGCUCUUACUUAAGAGUGAAGAAAUACUAUCAGCUAGGAAGUUAUAAUUUUAACUUAAUAAGAUGUAGUAAAACUUAAAUUCUACACAUUUGAACUUCAGAUAGCUGAAAGAACAUUCUUUUGAGACAUAUUUCAAGGUAGAAUUUGUUUAAUAUAUGAUUUAUAAGUACAUUUAAAUAUAAUAUUCUGUUGCAUACGCAAAAAGCAUCUAUCUUGUCAGACAGUAUUGUUCACUUGAUAUUCAGACCAGAAGGAAUAACUAAACGCAUGAUUUCUUUUCAGCAUUCUGUUCAACAAAAGGUUCAAUGAAUUUCACUUCCCAGUAUCAGAAGAGGAAGUACCCGACUAUAGAGUAAUAGCCCACAACCCCAUGGAUAUGGCUUCUGUCGACUGUCUUGCAGCGGGUGUACUCUGGACAGUACUUCACUCGGGAAGCAUUUAUGUAGGAUAUUGAUCUUAUAGUUUCAAAUGCGAAGGUGAUUUUGAUUUCUGGGGCAUUUUGUUUUUCCACUCUUGUUACAUAGCAAGCACAUUGCAAUUUAAUACUGAUCUUUCUGGUGAUGGCAACUGAAAAAAUGACCAAACUUCCACCACUACUGUGUAGCUAUAGAUGGUUGUGAUAUUUCUGAAGAUGGUAACUGAAAUGCUGAUCAAACUCGACUGACUGCUGUAUUUAUAGGUUUGCUGCUAACCAUUUUACUAUUUGUGCAGACUUAUAAUGGUGAUGACUACAACGGCUCUAUGAUCGUCAGUAGAGCCUGUGAACUCCGAGAUGUGUUUUUUUUCUUGUUCUAUCAUGUGUGCCUAUAGGUAGUCGUUGACUAGGUUUUUAUUCGCCUAACUAAUGGAUCUCUUGUUCAGGUGCAAGGUAUGUUGUCACAGAUGAACCCAUCUUUGGUGUCCUUUUGUGAUAGAAUUGCUGCACAGGAGGGACCACUGCAGGCUAUGGAUGAUGAGGAUAGCUCCAUUCUCCAAGCAGCUCCUGUCGUUCAGUUGGUUUCUGUUAUUAGGAAGAAUGCGAGGCUUCGUAAUGUAGAACCAGAAGUUGAUCUGUCACGAAGUUAUGAGGUGCUAAAGCAGCACAAGAAAAGUACUGAAAACGAACAAGGUAAUUGACUAUACAUCACCUCAGCUGUUGGUGAUCUACAGGGUGUUCUUUCAGGUAAACAAAUGCCAAGUGUUUCAGUAUUUUCAUCAGCUUGACCUAUGCCAUUUGAUUUGCGGUCGGGUGAAAUCAUAUGAAGUUUUUUUAUGAUUGGCAGCAAAUAUUCCAGUUUUUUUCUGUAGGUUUUUGUAGUACUGACAUAUUUGCGGUUGGCAGCAAAUAUUCCAGUUUUUUUCUGUAGGUUUUUGUAGUACUGACAUAUGAAGCAUCGGUUAUAAUAAGCAGGCUGGUGAGAAAUUGAAAAGAUGUGCUUCUGUUUUUCUCUGUUCUGAAAAACGUUCUCAUCCUCGAUUUGUUUUUCCUUUUUUUUUUUUGCUGAUGAUCAACUUCAGAAAUUGAAAAGGCCAUUUGCAAUUAUCAAAUUCAGAAAGGUAAGAUAGUUUGGGUUCCCUACUUGAUUUGUUGUUUGAUUUGGGCUGGCAAGCAAGUUUACUUGAUUCUCAUAUAGACUCAACCUUGGCUCCAAUUAGGAAAUUGCAAUACCCAGCAGCCACCAGUAGCUAACUUACUGAAAUUACUACAAGGUGCUGGAUGUUGUGCAUCAGAGAGCUAAUUAUUAGCCGUUAUAAAAUCCUAGGAUUCUCCCUUGAUUAAUAGUAUGUGAGAGAGCUAGUUAGCCAUCAUAAACAUAGGUUUCUCCCUUAUUUUGGAUAGUAGCCAUAAACUCCAAACAGUUUUCAGAUUUAAAAACCACUAAAGGCACACACAAAAUAGUGAAAUACCAACAGAACAGACACCAGAUCACUCUCCUGUGCUGGAAACUAGAAACUAACGCUUAUCAUUGUGACGAAUGAUGUAGACCAUCAUGGUAAGUCUCCUCUCGUUCUUCAUCAGCUGGAACAGGCAGAGAUCCUGGACUUGCAGACGGUUCUCAUUGGCAAACUCAUGCCAACCUCCCCUGAGCAUUUUCGCGCCGCCAACCCUUGGGUGCAUCUCGACAUCCCAUGUCUUGCUCCUCUCUGGCCUCAGGAGUCUCAGAGUGUGCCCUCCGGCUGGAAGAUACUUAGCAGCAUACUUCUUGGGAAUGGUCUGUUUCCAGAUGCAAAGUGUUGCAUUAUAACAACAGGUUAGCUGAAAUCUUACAUGUUUAAGAAAACAAAAUGGAGAGAAAAUAUUACAUCCUAUUGACAGCUUUAAUGUGUCCAGAAAAGAUUUCGACUUACUAGAUGGUAGAGCCUGUUGGCACCAACAGAGCUGUUGUUCAUUAUUGACACAUAAAUGGGAACUUCAGACUGAAUGGCGUCAACUCGCCGCUUAACUUUCUUCUCCUGCUCCCAAGUCAGACAUGCAAUGUCUGAUAACAUGUAGGGACGCUCCACAGGUUCUUCAUAUUCAUCAGACUCGAGAGGUUGUUUAUGUGCUCUAUGACCAUGGUUGCUACCCGAAUAUGGAUGACUUCUUCCUGUGCAAAAUAUUACAUGAAUUACUAUUAGAAACAGAGAAAUUCAAAUGUACCAGAUUAUUUUAGUCUACCAAAGGUUUCUUGACAUACCAUGAUCUAGUUCCUCCUUCACACGGGUUUUUGGAGUUGCAUUUGCCCUUGUUCUGCCAUGAGUUGUGCUUAUUCUUAUAUGGGUAGCCGAACUUACCCUUGAUUUACCAUGAGGUGAGCUUACUCUUUUAGGUCCAGUUCCACUUCCACCAUGUAUUGAUUCACGAAGUAGAUGGACCUUGAGAGAGAAUUUUUUCCCAGUGCCCUUCAUUGGUUCAAAGACACAGAUAUCUCCCUCCUGCACUUGGUUGUCCCGGAGAAAGCCUAACAAACGAAGGAAUGCACAUCCAUCUUUCCGAAUGUGAAAUCUGUGAUACCACUUCUUGUUCUUGCCUGGGCGCUGCAGUAUGACAGUUUGACUUUUAUGUGGCAAGUGUUCGGCUGCAUAGCCCUUAGGAAUUACCUAAUUCCAGAUGACAUAGCAUCAGUAGUAGAUAAAGAAAUAUGACUAUGCUGGGGUUCAUGCAGAGAGUAACUCCAGAGUAAUGUAAAGUCUUUUUUCAAGAAAAAGUUCUUGGGUUUAUUAAAGGAGUAUUCACGACCCAUGCAUCCUAGCGCGCAUGAGCCACUUGAGAGAAUGUGAUGCUACUAACAAAGUGUCAACAUUACAAGAUGAUCUGAGCGGAUUGAACCAACAUAGUUUAUGGUUUCUGAUGCCAAAAAUUUGUAAAAACAUUUAGCACAUUGUUUAAUAUAGUUUGUAACUAACAAGUCGAGAAAACAUCGGCAACUGCCUUUCAUGUACAACUAUCCUUAAAAUGGACCAUGCUCCAGCCUACCCUAUAGUAUAUUGAAUAUACAAUGUAUAUUUUGAUAUUUGAAAAAAUAUUUAUAUAUAUCUUUAAAUAAGUAGACAUGAUUCAUACCAGUUUUGUUCAUCUUAAUGUGGUUAUUUCUAAUCUAGACUCUCAAGGAAACGUCGUUCUCUAUGAACCUAGUUAUAAUCAUGCAAUGAGUACAAAAACAUGGCUAUAGCAAAUCAAAUGUGGACUGAGAAACUGUCGAGAAAGAACAGUACAACUUACAAGACCAGAACUUCGGGACUUGAGGUUGCUCUGUCUAAUGAUAGCCACUAAUAGAGGAGCUUCAGCUCGAAUAUCCUUAUCCUGGAGAAGCCUAGUUACUUUCUCCUCAUGUACUCCAGGCUGAGCACUUCUAUGACAUAAGACAUAAUCACACCCUAAGGGUGUCUGAAGAUCAUCUAGCUGAAAAGAUGAUUCGUAUUCAGAACAAAUGUCUUCAGUGUCUUCUCCUGCAUCUAAACAGGUAAAAUGACAACAGUAAAUCUAAUAUAAAUGUAUUGUGAACACAUAACUCGGAUAAUAAUGCUAAUGCAGCAGAGAAUCAAUAUCUUACCUGAAUCCUCAGAUGAGGAGUAUUUUGCAGGUGUCUUGGCAGUUUUUCUAGGAUGGCUUGAGUGAACCCUUUCACAACUAGCAAAUUCUUUACUUCCUGAUGAUUUUGUGGUAUCAGCAUAGGAGCUAUUUGAAAUAUCAUCAUAAUCCGAACUUCUUUCUUGAACAUUACAGGUAACUUUGAUGCCAACACAGGAAAACACUUUUUCGCAGUCAUCAGAAUCGAGGACCAGAACCUCAAAACGUGAGUUCUUGAUGUGACGAAACAACAAGGAAUCAUUCUCUUCUAUGUGAUGUGCAUCUAGAAAUGCCUCCCAUCCAUGACACGGGCUUUUCUUGCUCAAAUUCUUGGAAACUUCAACAACGUAUGUAUUACCAUCAGGGGAUUCUAGUUCAAUGGUUCUUGAGAUCUUUCCUCCAAAAUGAUCCAUGAACUUGUUUGGUAUGAUCUGUAGAAAGGACAAAGAAAAAUAUUGGUACAAACGUGGCAAUUUUCUAGUUUCCGUCAAUAAUGACAGCAAGCAAAAAUAUGAUGUAGAUGCAAUGUAAAAACUAUGUUCCAUAGACUAAUCAAGAUUCAGGAAAUCAUUUUCUAAAGAGACUAAUCAGGAAAUGGGUUGAUGAAUGGAGCUCAGUUACGUGAUUGGUAUUCAUAUUAACUUAGAAAUCAGAACACACAAUGUUAAUCAUCAUCCUGAGCUGAGAAGUUCACAAUGACACAACGUAUGUUUAACUUAGACAUUAGAACAAAAGAAUGUUAAUCAUCAUCCUGAGCUGAGAAGUUCUUCGGCUACAAUGUUUUAGACUGACAAGAUUAACUGUUGGUCUGGAACCCAAGAAUUUAACACGCAAUGUUAUGUUAAGCAUCAUCCUGAGCUCUGUAGCAAUGAUGUUUGGAAUCUACUACGUACUAGCUUCUAUGUGUUUGUUUAAUACCAACCAAAUAGGUUCUUCAAACUAGCUAUUAGAUAACUAUCCAUAACACAUCUAAGAAAGAAAAACUAUCCUUAACAUAUUCCAGCCAAUCCUCCAUGCGAAACGACAUGAACAAAAGAUAUCUGGGAAAUGGAACACUUGAGACACUGAAACUAUUACGGGCUUACCAUGCCAUGUCUAAAAUCAGCAGUCAUGUGCCUCUGGAAACACUUCAUCUUUCCCUCCAAAUGGCCCACAUAUGUCUUGCAGCAGUCACAGGAUUUCUGUACUUGGGAUUCUAGUCGAGCCAUGUGAACUGAAAUUUGUAGCUUAUGUCAGUUGCAGAUUCAACAAAGCAAUAUACAAUCAAAACCUAAACGUUAGCAUAAGAGUAGAGAUUGUCUUUGUUAUAUAUGCCAGUUGUAAUCAUAGUAUAUGAGGCUCUUCAUGUCUAUUCCCUAGAGGUUGUGUUCGUGUUUCGUCUACCUUCAAAAACAAAAGAUAUGACUUAAAAAAAAAAGAUAUGCACAGAGUCUUCCUUUUGAAAAGUGUGAAAACACAGAAAAGAUGAAUGUUACCACCCUAGAUUAUAUUUCUGCACUGAGGAAGAAAAGAUGCAAAUAUAGCAGAACUAUCCAAUAAAUGGUGGAACAAAUCAAAGCAAGGACAGAUGUUGCUCAUAGACUGAUAUCCAACAACUCAAAUUUAAGUGAACAGCUGCACUUGACGCUCUCUUUGCCUUGCUGAUGGUUGGACGUAGGGGAGAAGAGACACCUUACCCUUGAAAAUAAGAGACACGUGAUGCAGAUAACCAUAUUUUUCCCUUGACCAUCUUUUCUUUUACAAGCCUCUUUGCCAAAACAGGAGAAGACACGGGAUGCAGGUUACCAUAUUUUUCUUGAAAACGGUAUUCAAAAGCAUAUCUUUCUUGAAAAGAAACCUCAUGGAGAGACGGUUCAGUAGAUGCAGAUAUUGGCAGCAGUUUAUGAAAAUGGUACUACCUUUUUCACUCAGAUCUGGCAGUGUAUCUGCAGAACCUAUCAUGAUAUUCUCGUUCUCUCCUAAAGCAACUAUAGCACGUCUAAGAUGCAGCAUAUAUACUGUGGCGCAACAGAGAUGACGCUUCUUACCUUUGCAGAGAUGCCUUCAGAUGGCUGCCAGAGUUGUGUCCAGUCAAUCCGAGCAGUAUCGCCUGUGGAGAAUAAAAGGAGCCCAGGCCAACAGUCAGCAGCAAUUCAACAGCCAGUUUCCAAGGAGUCAACCAGCAUUGAUGAGCUUAUGCAAAUGCACCCAGCAUUUGAACGUCCAGUUUCUUUCUUUCUUUCUUUCUUUCUUUCUUUCUUUCUUUCUUUCUUUCUUUCUUUCUUUCUUUCUUUCUUUGAAUAAACGCAAACGUGUCAGGCAGCGAGGCAACUCAAUUUUUUUUCGAAAUGUCAGGAAUCUUCCUUAAUAACGACUUCCUACUCCUAAUAGGCAAGCUAGUCAAAGGAUGAAUUAAUUCCAGAAGACCAACUUGACUUCAAUGAAAGGAAAACAGUCACCUUAACGUUGCGGUUCUGUACUACGUAUUGGCGGGGUGGCAAGCCAAACCACUAAACUUUGAGAUCGCUGGGUGCGUGUUCAGUUUUAGUUCUCAUAACUGAAUGAAGCCUCAUGUAAAUCUAUGGGGUUAAUUCAGUACGUUAGCAUAGAACAAGUUCAGUUAGGCACAGAAAUCCCGAUUCCCGGGUACCAAAUUUUCUUGUUGAAAUCCCUUCGCAUUCAGCAUACCAAGUCCAUCCAUCCAAGGCAAUGUUCCAACCAAACCCAGCCUUGAGCCCUUGACGCGGCGUGCGUGGAAAAUCCCACGAUAGGGUCGCUAUUAGUGUUUGGUUGUAGACUAAGCUGGAAUGUGAUGAAACGAUUGGAACGUAAUUGUUCUAGUUUGUUGUUUGGUAGGGAGAUGAAAUGCUUAUAUAUUUUGUUUAGUUCAUGGAAUAGAGUGGAUUGAAAUGGUUUCACAAUAUGUUUGAACUAAAACCACGACAAUACGGAGGGAGUACCAACCAAGCACUACCUUAAAGUACGAAAACAAAGGAAAUGAUCCCUCGCCGUCCCUCGGUCGUUGCCGGUUUCUUAACCGCAUGACGCAACUGCGUCAGGGCAGCGAGCACGCGACAUCGCGUGGGGCGAUGUCGAGUGUACCGCGAAGGGGGAAAGAUUCCCUGAACCAGAAGAUGAUAUAAACGGAAAAUGUAUAUGGAGAGCUAGCGUCUGCUCUAUGGUUCUAGUGGGUAAACGCCUCGUGCCCGUAUGAUCUGCAUCUUUGUACGGAUGAGUAGGGAAUCGAUGGUACCUACCUGCGUUUGACGCAACGGGACUAGAGAGACGUGCGUAUGGGCUGCAUAAUGAGGUAGGUCAAGCCCACUCGUUAACAUAAUAAAUUCAAAAGUGACCGUAAUGUCGAUUCAUUCAACUACGACUUGACUCAUUUAACUCAUUAGAAAAAAAAACCGAUGCAUUUUUUUUCGACACGAAGAGAACAGGGUCAGGAGAACAUGCAGGAUUUAGUUUUUUUUUUGUCGCAAAAAGGACAUGGAUUUAUUAUAAAGGUCCAUGAGUAGUACAAAGCACAUAAAACAUAAUAAAACUUAUAUUGGGGUCUCUGAAUGACCUAACGAUCACUACCGCCGUCAGAAUGAGCCGAUGAUAAGCUGUCGCCGCACUGCUACCAAAACCGGCAUGACUUUAUCGAUAAUAGCCGGAAAGUCCUUGUGCACGUGUCCAUGGAAUGGCAAAGGCAUGUGACGGCCAGCUAUAUAAAUUAUGUUGCAUCUUCGAGACCCCACUAAAGGUUGCGUCCGGUUGGUGUGACGUUUCUGGAAACCAGCCAAAUUUGAUGCUCUAGGUUCCAUAUAGUAUGGUUGGUUGAUCGACGAGACAUGUUACGAAUGGCUGCCAUUUGAUAUAUUGUAUGGUUAUACUUGCUUGAGCGAGCUGUGCUAGCUUUUGUCACUCGUGUCGUGGCCAACAAUCAUGUUUCAAGACAUGAACAAUUAGAUGGCGGCUGUUUUUCCUUUUCAAAGCAUCCUGCCGACUGCUGGCAUGUGAACAGUCGCAUCUUCCUACCUAGCAGGUUUCGCAAAGACUAGACAUCUCUAAAAUUGUACUACCUCCGUUCCGGUAUAUGGAGCCCCAACGCAUCCAUAGCUUAAAAGAUUUAACUAUUCUAACAUGAGUUUUAUAUCACAAAAGUUAUAUCAUUAGAAAAUAGUAAUGAUAUAACUUUUGUGAUAUAAAAAUCAUGUUAGAAUAGUUAAAUCUUUAACCUAGUAUGCAUUGGGGCCCAUAAACCGAAAUGCAGGGAGUAUGUUUGUUUGAGAGAAUAGCUAACCUCGUAUGCCACGAGGUGAAACGCAGGGAGUGUGUGACAUAGCCAAACUGUCAUUUUGACAAUAAACACAUGUAGAAGUUCAUACACUCUAACAGAUGUUGCCUAGCUUACCAAGAAAACAACCACUCCAUCGAUCAUUAAAAAAACCGGUAGUACAAGUACGGGUAGGAGCACAGAAAAUAUUUAGGAGCAAAAGAGCCAUCUGCCUAUAUAGAUACAUUAAUGAUAAGAUUACGGGAAAGGUCUUUCAUUUGUUGAAAUCUAGUGAACUAUAUAAAGCAGCGGGUUCCUUCGUUUAUGUGGGAAGAGGGGAGUGCACUCAUUUAUCUUGAUCCAUGAAGAUGUGAUUUGAAUAGAUUCGAUGAUGUUCUCCAGAGAGAAAUAAUGGGACUAAACGAGUUAACUAAAAACACCAGAGAAAUUUUCGCAUGGUAAAACUGAAUCUCUGAAAUUUACUUAAGGUUUCAUCUACCGUUCUUUGCAUUUAUAUUUCUUUUGUGCCUUGUUUUAAAAGAAGGAUCCCCUCUGCUUUUUAUUACACUAGCACGGUGUCCAGCGGAAAUCUUUUAUCAUUUUUUUACUUCCUAGUUGACAACUUGACAUAGACAUGUAGUGUUAUACUAUUUACACGACAAAGUUAUUACCUAAAAAAGACAAGUUAAAAACCGUAGUAUAUAUCUAGAAAAAUAAAAUUAGUCAACGUAAUAUCUAGAAGCACAAAAGUGUAUAUAUAAAUGUUACUGCUGUUUAAACAUAUAUUGAGUUAACUCAAUAUAUAAAUAUAUUGAGUUAAAUCAUAAUUUAAACAUGAGAUAAUAUUUUAUUUGUAUGUGAUGUUAUAUCAGAAUCUAGAACUAAAGGCUAGAUUGUGUGUCAGCUGGUUGAUCAACUUUUGCAUCACACUGUUUGAAUGUUUGUAGGUGAAAUUAUCUUAGUAUUUAUAAUUAAAGUUCAGAUCACCUACCAAUUGAACCUGAGAUGGUUGAUCACGCAUGAUAUAUAUAACAUUUGUAAAAAUAAUAAUUGAAUUUCACAUAUGGAAUUGGUAAACCAGUUAUUUGCAUUGGCAGUCAUGUGUAUGCCAAGUUAUUUAAAUAGGUAAUAUUUUCCGUGAUAAUAAAGCAUAAUGCAAGAUUAAAGUCUCACUUGAUUAUUCUAUCGAUACAAAUUAAAGUUUAGAUCAUUUGAACUAGUUGUUUGUUUUCUACGGUACUCACAAGAUUUGAUAGGGACAUAUUUGGUUCGCUUCUCAUAUGUGAUGUUAAAUUAGUUCAUCGUUAAAAUUGAGGCCAUGUGUAAUGCAAUCCAUAUUUCUUAGCCACUUUAUAUUGGUAUGUGGAGUAAUAAUUCUCCAAAUACCGUUAGUGUAACUCAUCGUUGCAAAAUUGUAUAUUAUGAGGUAUGGAAACUUGAGCUCAUGUAUAACCCGCAUUUAUCAUACUAACAAUUAUUGGUAUACAUAGUAAUAGUUUUUCAAAAAUACAGUUAAUAACGCACCCUUGGAAAAAUAGAGAUCUUAAUGAAUAAUGAAACUAGGCUUACUACAUCUUAAUAUUCCUAAAAUUCAGUAAGAAAACCAAGGAAAAAUAACUUUAAUAGGUUGUAGCUUGAUUUUGAAAUCGAACAAAUAAAUUAAUAAUGGCUUACUACUAACCGUUAUUGGGCCUUUGUGAACACUCAAGAGUCAGCACAUUUUGCUAGGAGCUUCUAUCAACUAUUGACUCGAGUCUGAGAUCUCGUGGGCGAGUAAGUGUAACUCGGUACCAAGCAAGAGUACUUGGGGCCACAGGUAGGAAUUCAAAAGAAACCCUGAUCCGCGUCUGAGUGCUCAUGGACCUAAAGGGUCACACACUUAAGGGGCCGGAAGCCUGGAACCCAAUCGGAUAGGAUCUAAGUGGAAUUGGGAAUAUAGUCCUAAUGGACCUCAAUUGUUGAGCCCCUAUAGGGAUGCCUAUAUAAGUGUAGGAUGGCCUCAACCCAUGUUAGGGUUGCAUGACGUUCCUCCGUUUACGUGUGGAUACCUUGGAUGUGCUGCACCUUCGCCGUUAGGACAAACCAUACGAGAUGAAUCCGCGAGCAUAAGCUGGCAUGCAGCACAUGUACUCAGCAUCAACAUGCUGCACCGAACGACUCUACUUCCUCUAUGUGUUUGCGGUCCAGUGAUAAUCUCAUGACCCAUUAGCUACAUCAUGCAUGUUCCUCAACGGCGUGCGGCAGAAAAUUUUAUUUUGUGCUAGUGUAGUAUACUAUGUUCUGCGAUAGUGAUUCCCCUCGGGACACCUCAUUAUACUUUUAGUAUAGAAUAGACGUCAUAUUUUGAUUUGCUGAAGUGAAACUUAUUAAUAUUUGACAAACAAUUAGUCAAAGUACAUAUGCAUAUGUUAGUAUACAAAAGUUGUACCAAUAGAUUCGUAAUUCAAACUUGUUUAAUAUGAUGUUGAUUUUGUGGCAACUAUCAACAUACUGUAGGAAAAGUGAAGUCAAAAUCUGCUUUCGAAGACUUUCCUAAAUCAAAAUACAACGUACAGGUGUAAGAAAAACCAGAUGGAGCACUGCACCAUACUUGCCCAAAUAGUGAUUCCUAUAUUAUCAAUGUGUUACCGGAUACAUGGAAUGUACAGCUGGCGUCUAGCAUUGCCAGGUUCAGCUGGUUGUCUAGCUAGCUGCCUCACUGACGACAAGAGUUAAUAUAACACCAACCAUAUUAUAUCGCUCGUUAGGAUAUACGCACAAUACCUGUGCCUUGCCAGACUCACAAAAAUACAUGUUUUGAGAAAUGGAGACAAUUAUUCAUCAACGAAGUGAUGAAAACACCAUUUGAAAAACAAGUGAAGCAAAAAAAAAAUGAAGUGACACAAUCUGAAGGCGACGGAGCGCCAGCACCAAAUCGAGCUUUUUACUGCAUCACACUUUCUGUCUAGCUAUAAAUAAAUAAUACACCGGCUUUGGUGUAUUUAGAAAAAAAAGUACUACCAGUAAGUCUUAGCGAGCUGGCUUCAAAGCUUGGAGCGACGACAAGACGCCAACAACUGCAGCGAAGACCGAGAGCACGGUAAUGAUUUUAUUCCUGUUCCUCGUAAUGAAGAGGUACAACUUGAGCAAAACUGACCUCUUGAGCUUGAACUUCUCGAUCUUUAUUAUUAUGUCGAGGUAGCACUUUCCGAGGCGCAUGUUCUUGCCAAUGCAGGUGAAGAAUUCGAGCGCCUCCUUGCUGGUGAGCCCUCCUCCUUCGAUGACUUUGUUUUCCCGCAGCUCAUGCACGUGCUGCUCCUGGUCCAGCAGCAUGGCGAAGAGGUGGAGGUAGGAGCAGACAGCGGAAUCUUCAUCAUCAAUACGAUCACCUACGAAGUCUGGGGUCUUGCAUAACUCAAAGGCCGCCAUGUUGAUGAGCCAGGUCGCAUUCGCCUCGGUCAGGGACAGGGGCGGCACGACGAGAUCGCCGAACAUGCGCCAUUUCUUGUUGUCUUGGAGGCACAUGUCCACUAGCCCAGCUGCAUCUUCCUUGGGUACGAGGUUGACACCGACGUUGGCAAGCUCGGCGACGCUGAUAGAUAAUGACAUGUCCUUGUCUCCUCCGUCAGGAAGCCGGAGGUGUUUGUUGGUGUUGUUGUUUCCGACGAUGUAGAACCGGACGAGACCGAGGAGAUGCGGCGGUUCAUACUUGGGAUCUAGGACGAUGUCUUCAAUGACAGAAAUCUUGCUCUUCAGACGGCGUUUCAUCGCAGUGACGAACUUCUCCAAGGGUGAGGGCGCUGGCAUGAAGCUCAAGAUGGUUUUAACCACCACCCAAGGGAUCUGGUUCUCAAGCUUCAUGAUGUCGGUGCAGAUGCUGUCCUCGUUGGAGAUGAAAUAGGUGAAAAGCGCCGUAUCCAUGUGUUGCGCACGCUUGUAAAUACGCAUGAACUGCACCAAGAAGCAAGCAUCAAAGAACAUCAUGGGCAAAAAGACAUCGUCGCCGAUACGAGCCACCGCUUCCUGGUGGUAGAGGCUGCGGGCGACGUGCGACACGGAGAAGACCGCAUCGUACAUCUCCUGGACUGAGAUGCCACAGUCACUGAUGCAAUUGUUGGCAGCCACAUGCUUCACCUUCUCCGCCUCGAGCACGCUGGGAUGAACCGCGUGGUGAUAAGGGCCGAUGGCCACAGUCAGCGGGCGGGUGUACCAUGAGCGGACACCUAUCAGGCUUGGAGGAAACUUGUGCAUCUUCCAUUCCAUACUGCGCAGAUAGUCAUCACAGAACACUUGCGCUGCUUUCUCGAACACCUGAACCGGAUUACAAUUACCGUGUGUGGCUGGGCCUGCAUACUCAACCACCUGCAGCUGCACUUCGCUAUGGCUAUGGCUAGGGAAGGAUGUUUGCAAACUACUACUAUCAUCACUCCACGCAGCUGACUCUUCCAUGGACCAACCCAAGUCGCAAGGUACGACCCAUGAUGCUUCCAUGCUCCUCUCGCCCAAGUGUACUAACGGAGUGGAGUGGACUAGCUAAAUACAAACGCAGAGUUAAUGGCAGAGAUGAGCUGAUGGAACAAAGAAGCGCACAGCCUUGUCGCUCCUGUUAUAUAUAGACCAACCUGCAGCCAUGUCUGUCCAUGUGCACCGCAGUUUUCUUAAUUCCGUUCACUCCACUCCAUGCAUGUAUGGUUCCAACUGCCAGACGAUUCCCCGGCUGCAGGAUGUAUGUCUCGGAAUCUAUAUAUGCAGUUCAUCACAACCCGCACAUGGCUCAGCUAGCUCAGGUCCAUAAUCUACCCGCAAAUUGGUAAUUUCGUCUGCAAAUGGUGUUGCUUGGCAUUAUUUAUUAGUCAAUGUACCUCUGUCCUAUGUGCCACUUGCUACACAUAAAUUGGUUCUAAAUACUGAAAUGCCUACAGCACAUGCAUGCAUUAUUGGACUUACUUUACUGGUACUACAUGUGCAAGCAUCAAUUAGUCCUGCUGCCCGAAGAUUAUUAUCACACGGAGGGCUCAUUCGGUUUUACAGGAUUUCAAACCUUAGGAUUUUUUCCUAUGUGUAGCAUUUGUUUCAAACCUUUGAUUCUUAAGGAUUGUUGCCAAAUUGACCUAAUUCCUAAGUUUUCUAAAUAUUAGGUGAGACCUCAUGGAAAAUUCCUAAGGAUUAAUUGGGAUGUGCAUGACAUUUCAACCCUCAACUUUUCUUAUUCCUAUGAUUCAAAAUUCCUACAAACCAAACAAGCCCGGAGAUCGGAGACACAGAGCAUUUUCCAUCUGGACUCAGAUCAUGCUGCUACGGUCGAAGAUGGGUGUGUGCAGUUGGAAAUAAUCUUUCCUUGCCAUGUGUUUGAGUCAGUCCGAGUCCUAGUAAAAUUAGUAUAAUUGGGGUUUCCUAGUUGAUUAGUUGACAACUUGUAUUAGGGAGUACUAGUAUGUUUAGGUGUUGUAGUUCUUGCCUAAUACUGAUCAUGUCCGUGUAGGAGUGGCAAGAUUGGAUCUGUGUGUUUAUAUAGACCAAGACACCACCUUGUUGUAACGUGAAACCAGAUAUUGAGAAGAGAAAUAAAAAAAAAGAGGCACGUGCAUGCAGCUAAAAAAAUUCUGGCUAUGUGAGUCUUCAUGUGAUUGAUCUUUUUGGGCAAACCGAACAUGUGCCACCACGAUGUGUUGGCAACAUUUCCUACUGAAGUGACCCUAGCGUCCCCGAUGGACAGGACGGGACACGGGAGCGGGAGGGUCUCGGGCAUCCCGAGAGAACCCACUAUAAUCAUAGCAUGAGUAAUUUUUUGGAAUUGUCAAUAUAAUCGAAGAGGAUAGCAAGAUCCAAAGCAAAUAAUUUUUGCUACUUUGCUCUUAUGUUUUCAUAGGGUUUUUUUAAUUGAUGGUUAGAUUAAUUCAUGGGUCAUCCCCUACUUUAUUAGGGAAAUUCCUUUAAAAGGUAGAGUAGCACCGGCCGGCUUGGCCUGCCUUGAGGAUCCACCUCAGGUCCAGAAUCUACCGCAAAUUGGUAAAUUUGUCUGCAAAUGGUGAUGCUUGGCAUUUUUUAUUGGUCAACGUGCCUUUGUCCUAUGUUGGCACACGCAUAAAUUGGUUCUAAAUACUGAAAUUCAUUGCUACAGCACAUGCAUGCAUUGGACUUACUGGUCUUGCUGCUUAAUCACAACAUUCAAAUUAUUUUUCACGUGAAUGAAACUAUUAGUUUUUUUAUUCUUGAACAUGUUAUUUGUGAAAUACUCAUAUUUCUCGUUCACCAAGGUCUGAAAGGGGGAAGCUUGUGAUUAUUCUAGAAUUUAUGAACAAUGUCCAAUACAUAUGUAUGGAUCUUCGAUCUGAUUUUUUUAUAUCAUUAUGUCUUGUUAUAAAUGCAAUUGAUGUUGAAUUUUUGUGGGUACCUUCGAAAUUUUUUAGUUGUUUCUAUCUUAUUUAGUAAGCGCAAAUUAAGCCCCUUCCAUUUUCCCCAACAAAUUGGAAACUGAUGUAAAACUUGAUACCGCACAAAAACUUAAAUUUUAUGAUUAUUGCUCAUAUAUUUCUGGAUCAUCUGAGAAACUUUUCAUAGUUUAGUUCCUAUCUCAAGUCUAGUCCCAUCUAUCCAAUGAUCUAGCGACCAUAACAUACUUAUAUUUGUACAACUACUUCCGAUUCCAGGCAUGAAAGGAUAGCUGCUGCCUGCCUGCUGCAAGGUUAAGUUCCGCAACAUAUUCACAAGCCGUAAUGUAAGUUCUUCUAAUUUCUAAAGUGGCUGGCAUACCUGAUACUAUCUUUGUAACUGUACCGCAUGAAUCCUUCUUUGCAACAACUUCCAUCAGCUCAGCACAAUCAAGAAUGCGUCCCUGUAUGAAAAUAUUUCAGGCAAGAUCUAUGAGAUCCCAUGACAAGAGCUUAAAAAUGUGUACACUGACCAAUUUACUAACGACCUCCCCAAACAUGAUUUCGAAUUCAGCUUGCUUGUAGGGCCUGGAGACCUUGCAAAGAACAAGAGAAAAGAUAUUCAUGCCCACUGUUCAAAUAGUGGAGCAUAAUACAAAGCAACAACUAGGCAUAUUCUCGACAUACUUUACUCUUCUGCACUUUGACACGGACCUCGACACCAACAUCUUCAUCUCCCUUGGCCUUGGCAAAAUGAGAUAAAUUUUCUCAAGUCAGGCCUUAGGAAGGUGAAAUUUACUUCACUGACUUACAGAUUUUAUCUUCCCAAUGUGCCGUAUCUCUAGGCGGAGAGAUGCAAAGAAUUUCAGAGCAAUACCUCCGCUAGUAACUUCAGUAGAAUAUUCCAAUCUAGAACAAAUGGAAAUUAUCAAGCGACAGAAUAAGAUGGAAAUGAACAGUAAGCGUCAGCAGAAAGCUAAUGUUGAACACCUUGUGUCUUACUACCUCCGACCCUUUUUAUGAGGCACGCAUGCGUCCCAAGAUCACAAAUUUAACUAGCAAAAUAUAAAUUAUAUUUCAUAAAAAUAUAUCAUUAAAAAGUUAAUUUGACUACGAAUUUAAUGAUAUAUUUUUUACGUCAUAUUAACUUUUUAAUGAUAUAUUUUUUACGCCAUAUUAAUUUGUAUUUUGGUAGUUAAUUUGACGAUCUUGGAGCACGUGCGUGCCUCAUAUAGUGGGACGGAGGGAGUAUUUGAUUCAAGAACAUAAGAGUACAACCAGCCUUUGAGGCGUUGCCUGGACAUCUUUCUCAAUGCUCGACUCAUCAGACAAGUUUGUAAACCCAUCUGCUCCCUAUCUCACCCUAGCAAAUAGAUUAAUCAUAUUAUUUAUGCAUCAUUUUGAAUAUAAAUCAGGGAAGGAACAAAAAGGGACAAUCGUACUUCAAUUUCUGCACGUGGAGUGAGAGCUGAAACUGCAUCAAUACAGAUGAGAUCUAUUGCUCCAGAUCUACACAUGCGGUCAGCAACUGAUAGAGAAAAAGGACAUACAUGUCAAAUUCACAAAAACCAGGUCAUAGCGACUUUUACUGCCAAUAAGUAAAGACAAAAUAAUGUGUCUUGCAGAAUAUGUAUAUGGUGUUACCUUUGAAUUUGUCUGAUCAUUUUAUCAACCUAAUAUGGUUCAUAAAUAACCGACGUACUGGCUGCUGAUGAAAUAUCAAUACUAUAUGUUUAAAAUUUCUGAAAUGGAAAAGACAUUUUAGAAACUAUCUUUGAACAACAAAUGCUUUUUCACUGUACCUCAGAUAGGGAUGUGAUCUUUAUCAGUUGGCCCUCAAAAAAAAGAUCUUUAUCAGUUGGAAACUUUGAGCUAUAUGUGAAUCUAUAUACCCAUAUACCCAGCUAUGCCUUCAAGCGUAGCAGGUGAUUGAAAUAGUAUGUGUUUUUCUCAAAUGAAAAUAGAUAUAAUCCUAGAACUUCUGGUUAUCGAAUCAAAGUAACAGCUCUGAAUAACAGAAAUACAAUUAACUUCAGAAUUGCUAAAGGAAGUCACAGGAUGCUAAAACAUAAUUAACCCCUCAAAUGGCAAAGAAAGGCAAUUGGGAAAGGAUAUUAAAGGUUGAAGCGUCAUUAACUAAUAUUACAUGAAAAACAUUAUUCAGAUUUAGUACAUCAAAUGAAUCAUCACAAACAUGGAUUGAAACGGAAAGUUCCUGUGAAAAAAAAAUCCAAAUCAUUCACUAUGCAACCUUCUUAAAAAGUAGAACAACAUAGGUUAGACGCAAAAAAAUUUGAAGUAAACAAAGGCAGGUACUGAGCGGUCAUGAGUGGAAAAUGUAUUACUUUCUAGUGCUGUCUCUCCAUUGUCAGGCUGGCAUACAAUCAGAUUCUCAAUAUCUACCCUGAGCGCUUUUGAAUAAGCUGGAUCAAAAGCAUGCCCUGCAUCAACAAGCAUGGCAUUUUCUCCUAGCUUCUGCAUAUAGGAUGUUGAACAUCUUUUAGCAUCAUUAAGUUCUCACUGCAAUUGUGAAAUGUAUAAUGCUGUCACAUUGUUCUUCAAAACAAACAAACCUGUAUUUCAGCAAUGGCAUGCAGAGCUCAAGUAGUUUUUCCACUGCUUUCUGGGCCAUACGCCCAGGGGCGGAGGCAGGGACCAGGCCAGCACUGGCCCUGGCCCCCUAAGAUUUCGUAUUUCUACUUAGUCCCUGCAAUUUCAUCAUAUGAGCUUCAUAUUUUUAUGCUUUGGCCCCCCUAAUAAAUCAUCCCUUUUAUUCUGGGCCUCCCUAUAUUUUUUUUCCUGCCUCCGCCCCUGCAUACGCCUUCAAGUUGUUACAUUUUAAAUGAAUUAAGCAGUUGGUACGACAUUAUCAAGAUGCAAAAAUCAGACUAAAUGGCCAUAAUCAAAGUAAGAAUAAACUAUAUCUAUCUAAUUGCUGCAAGGAAGCACAGAAAAAAGAGUUGCCUCUACUACUCUUCCUUGUGGAAGGCCGCCGCACAAAGCAAAAACUAGUGUUAAGCAGCCACUUGGAAAAGACUCGCUGGAUAUACACAGUAACAUUCAUGAAUAGGAUGAAUGAAACUUAUGACAGAAGUUUGAUACAUUUAAGCAAUAGGAAACAUAACAAAAGCACUACCAGCACUGCCUAAUCUUGUAACGCUCCCUUCUGCAACCAAGUUAUUUAUGUCAUUCAUGCUGCAUCAAGAGCUUUUCUGCUGUAGAUGAUAUUGUAAAGAGUAUGUCUUAGUAAGAAACAAAGUAAUAAGCUAUAACCUAUUUCUUUGCAUCAAGAUGAAAGGAAAGUAGCAUAGCAAAAAAUAUGGGUUAGGAAAAAGCAAAGUCAUAUGACAUGCCUUUAAUUAUGUAAACUUGAGCAUGAUGCCUCUCUUAAGGCAACAUAUAUAUUUUUUAAUAAAGCAUCCAAAGUUCCAUACAGAACUAAGAUGUUAUAUAGAAUUGUAACCUACUACAGUAGUGUAGUGCAGAAAGUUUUGUAUCCAGUUAAUUAUGCAGAAGAGGGUUAGCUUAUGGGUGAUGAAAUAUUGUAUUUACCCAGAGAAGAUCCUUCAUGUUGCAGUGUGCAGCGCUACCACUGCCUGAACUACAGUUCACUUGAUUAGUAUCAUCUUAUAUUGGCUUCAAAGGCUAUCGACAUAGUGGCAUUACAACAACUGACGUGAACCAAUUUGGUAGGCAGUACAAAUAUGCAUGUUUGCCUCUCUCUAUUUGAAACUUUACGAAGUCCAUACAUCACAAUUCUUUUCAUGUCAAACUUAGCAUAACAGAAAAGUCAAUAAGAGAGAGCAGCAGAAUUUCAAGCAAAUGCAUAACUAUGACAUACUCCCUCCGUCCAACGAAAGAUGUCUCAAGUUUGUAAAAAAUUGAAUGUAUCUAGACAUGACUUAGUGUAUAAAUGCAUUCAAAUUUAGUCAAAGUUGAGACAUCCUUCGUUGGACGGAGGGAGUAAUUAUUUUACUAAAGCAUGGCGUGAAACUACACUCCCGUUGGCGCAAUGCAAUUUCGCAGGUCAUAUGUUCGACACAAUGCACAACUCAAGAACAGAAAUAUAUGCAACACCCCGUCGCAGAAAAACAAAGUUGACAUUGUUACCAAGUUGCACGUAUUCACCAUUCCACACUCCGGUUCUCGACGCCACGGAAACGGCAAUGAGGCAACGAACCGUACUCGCGGAGCGUUUAUCAUUUGUUCGACCAAAUGGCGAGAUGAGACGAAAAAUGAAAGGGCGAGAAGAACAAAGAAAUGCGGAAGCUUAUUACUCGGUCUAUGAGGCGAGGUUCAUCCUCCCCGGAGAGCCCGCCGUUCCCGACGCUGGCGACAAACUCACAGCGGCAGCCGCCGGCCGCGCCCGGUGGUGCCACUAGCUGAAGCGCGCGUCACGGAGACCCUCCUGCGUGGACGGGGCAGGAUGGAAGGGGUGAUACGUGCUGCUGCGGCGGUGGUCAUUGGUUCCGUGGCGGCUGACGUCCACGGCGCCGACUGCCGAGUGCUGGAUUUGUAUGCAGGGAACUGGGGAGACCGGCAGAGCGAAGGGCGAUGUGCAAGAAGAAGUUCUAACUGGAAUAAGGUGUGGGCCUAUAGCUGGCCAACGGGCCGGACCGGACCGGUACGGCCUACUCUGCUGCUAACGGGCUUAGCCUGGCCUUAAGCCCAGCCCAGACCUCCCAGGCCCGUAAUAAACGGAUCGUACCGGCCCGCUAGACCCGUUUAGCCUAGCAGGCCACAAGGAAAAUACAAAAGGAAAUGUAAAAAAGUGCUAAACGGGUCGGCCCGCCCAUGGGCUCGAGGUUGAGACACAUGCACGGCCUAAGGCGGGGCGCGGGCCUUAGGGCUGCUUUUAAAGGGCCCAGCCCAGGUGGCCAAGUAUAGUUAGGCCUACACUAUGGAUCGUCUGCGUGCAAAUGCAUCCAUGGGUAAGGCCAUCCAUGGAUCUCUGACCGGAAUGGUAGAGCAUGGGUUGUCGUUUUCAUUCAUCGGUGUUGUCCAUUGAUAACUUAAUUAGUCAUGGAUAGGAUAUGGAUAUAAGUUCAUACCCACGGGUUUCCCAUAGGCCACCUCGUCUGCCCGAUCAAUAUUUUUGUGAUGUCAAAAUAUCAAUUAUUUCAUUUGUUCUAUUCAUGUAUAAUCACUUUAAUAUGUCAAAUCGAUCUAUUAUCAAUUCAUUUCAUGUGUAUUAUGUUCUCAUAUCAAUUAUUAAUGCACAGUCAGUUCAACUAGGUUAGACUCGAUGUGAUAUCAAUAUAUACAUGUAGGCAAAGUCAUGAGUAGAUAACAUGUAUGCUCAUAGGUAUGGCGGCUAUGAGUAUAGUAAUAGUCCACUUGGCAAAACCCGACCCGAUUGACACCUUGAGUGAGACUAAAUGCAAAUAGGUCAAGUAUAAUGAAUUCAUCAAGGACUUGAUGGUCCCCUCAUAUUCUAUUUGAUAAUAUCUGUAUUUUUUUUUGUAUGGUGUUCAUUCGUUUGUUUUUUUGGGAUAGGAUGUUCAUAAUCAGUUCUCCGAUAUUGGACUAACUGAGACAUUGAGUAUGUUUAAUUAGCAAAGGUGCACAAUUGGUACCAACAGGAGGAUUCUUGGGAGAAAGUAAAAUCAUGUACUCCCAUUGUCUAUAAGCAACUGCCCACAUUGAUACUUCAUGAAAUGGUUAUUAACAUCUUGUCACAAUUAACUCCAUGAACCCAAAGUACUACUCCCUCCGUCCCAUAUUAAGUGACGAAAUAUUAAUGUAUCUAGACGCUUUAAGGUAUAGGUACAUGCAUAUAUGCAAAGCAUUGUUUUCCUUAAUUUUGUUUCUUUUGGUAAAGAACCUUUAUCCACAUAGCACAGCGAGAAUUAUACCAAGUAUUAGCUCAUUCGGUGGUUUACACUCUUCCGUUGCACUUGUAGUAAUUUUUUUCUUUGAUUUCCAUGCCAAUUAUUUUUUUUGAGGCAAAAUUUCAACGCCAAUUAAGUAUCUCGAUCGAUGGCAGUAGCUCCCUUGUGACCUGAUAGUAUUGACGCAUGUCACGCAUACAAGUCCUUGUUCCGAACGAGAAUACUUGUAUGCAAAGCAUGCAACUUCCAAAUCAUCUGCAUGCCCGGCCGCUCGCACAAACAAUCAUCAAUUUUCUCGAUCCCGGCCGUAUUUGACAAGGAUGGGAUUGCAUUAGGUUACCAAUGCAGACUUUAUCUCUCAAAUAUACCCGCAUUAUAAAACAUUUUCAUCGAUCGACGCCCAAAUUAACGCAAAUCCUGUUCGUCGAUCGAUCAGUAUGGCGCACGAAACCCGUAAACCAUCAUGGAAGGACCUUCCCCACGACUUCUCCCACCUCGUCCUCCGCCGACAGAGGCGCCUUCGCCGCCACUGGCACGCCGCGGUGCGCAGCUACCAGAUGAUGCCGCGGCUCGUCCUCCGAGACGGCGGCCGUGCAGCGCCUGACAACAACGCUCCCCGCCGACGCGCGCUGCUGCGGCUCCGUGGGCGGCGCCUGGCUCGUACUCGUCCGCGACUGCCCCGUCUCCGUCCGCCGGAUCUGCGGCCACCACGUGCCGCGCUUCAGCGGAUGCUGCGGCGCCCCGUGCUGUUGCUUCCUCCUCGACCCGUUCUCCAAGGCCGCGGUACUGCUGCCGGAGCUUGCGGAAUUGCACCACCAGCACGCGAUCCAGGGGUCGAUCUUCAUCGACAAGAUGGCCGCUUCCUCGGCCCCGGACGCGCCAGGCUGCAUCCUGGCCGUGUUGAUCCACGGCAAGGACCGGUCGAUCACGUUCUGCCGGCCGGGCCCGGGCAGCAGGGGCAGCUCCUGCCAGGCCAGCUUGCCGGCCGACAUCCGCGGCAUCGCGUUUUCUCAAGGCAAGUUCUACGCGCUCACCAAGGACGAAGGCCUCUUCGCCAUUGCCAUCGACGACGAGCGCGAGCGCCAGCAGCCGGCGGUGUCGUCCGUUACGCGGCUCAUAGACGACACCUCCUUCUCGCCAAACUUCAGGCUGCAGCACGGUUCAAACAACGCCGUGUACUCGUGCCGUCGCCGGUGGUACCUCGUGGAGUCCCGAGGCCGGCUGCUCAUGGUGAGGCGUCUGCUCGUCGGGGCGAGCGGCGACGUGACGUAUAACCUCAAGGUUUUCAGGCUCGACGAGUACGAUGGCGGGGCCGGGGCGUGGACGGAGUUGGCCAAGCAGGGCCUGGACGGCGAGGCGCUGCUCGUGGGCAAACGCGGGUCCGUGUCUGUCCCGGCGUGGUGGUGCGUCGGGGCGCAGGAGGACUGCGUCUACGUCUUCCACGACCUGGCAACCACGUGGUGGAAGUCGGCUGCCGAUGACCCUUUCCGCGACGCCGGCGUGUACAGCGUGAGGGACCGCAAGAUUAUUAGCCGGUUGCCACCGGCCAGGAGGACUGCGUCGCCGCUCGGCCGGUGGUUCCCGACAUGGCUUUAUCCCUCAGCAGCGGCGUACGUGAGAAACUCUUAAACGGAGGGAGAACCGUCCGGCCGGGGCAUGGGAAUGUUUCACGUAGCUUACUUAAUUUUAUUUACGGCAAAACGCUCCUACUCCCUCGACACAACGCACCGCCUGCUCCUACCACGUAUUAGGGCCUUUUUUUAUUCACGGGAUUAGAAAGAACGCACGAAUAUGACAAAUACUGUAUAGCAAUGUCAUGUCUACUGCUCCACUAUCCACUUCAUCCAUAGAUUUUGUUUGCGUGCCCCAAAGUUUGUUGGUUUUCAUUGCACAACUGAAACACAAAAGAUUCCAUCAAAGAGGUUGGAGUAGAUUAAAACUUUCUAGUCUGCUUCUCAUCAUUCGCCCUCGAGGAUUCCAUUCCCGUACCUCUUUAUCAUUGUCGAUGACGUCCUGCAACGCCUAUUUCGCAAUGCCUGGCUAAAGGGUAACCUCAACCACCCCUGGAUUCCGAGCUCCCAUGCCCCGUACUUCAAUAUGCGGACUAACACGCUCAUACUUUGCCCCUGCACCGACACUCCACCACCCUUCUAAAGUCCAUCCUUCAUUGACUCCUUUCCUGCUGCCACCGGACUCUCAUUAAUUGCCAAAAGUCAUGCCUUCUCCCCAUUCACAUUGAGCCGAUACGGCUACUGACCUAGCCUUCCCUUCGGCCGGCCCAUCUCUUUCUUCCCUCAACCCUACCACAGACUACCUCUCUCACCAUGGAAACUUCCCCACCCCCCUCAGCUUUCGCUUCCCCUAUCCAAAUAUUCGACCCCUACAUCUCAGGGUGGCGAGCCCUCCUCUCCUCCAGCGGCCGUUAGUCCUUACUAGCGGUCCUCAACACUCACCACAACCUUUUCAUGUGCUCUUUUCCUCUUUCCCCUGGAGUGGUAAAGCAUUAGAUAAGAGAAGGCGAGCUUUCUUUUGGACCGACCGCUCUGGCUAUCUAAUGGCUUGGGAUCGUGUUGUGCUUCCUAAACAAGAGGGUGCCCUAGGCAUCAAGGAUCUGCGGCGACAAAACUCCUGCCUUUUGCUGACGUUCAUCCACAAACUUCACCAACGCGAGGCGCUGCCCUAGAAGAAUUGGUAAGCUCGAUACCGUAUAGGGGACUUUGAAGACACCCAACCCUCCCCCUCUUUCCUCGACAAAAUCAUUGAGGAAGAGCUUCCGUUGUACCAACUGUACAAUGGUUCGUCUCGGUGACGGCAUAACCACGGCGUUUUGGAAGGAUGUUUGGUAGAACAAUGGAAAUAGACUUGUGAACACAGUUGCGGCCAGGGGCGGAGCCUGGAGCAAAGUUGAGAGGAGGCACUUAGACAUUCUUAGGGUAUAACUUAAAUUAGAGGGGGCAUCAAUGGUGAAAUUCUAACAUUUACAUUGGUAUAUUAAAAUUGAAUGGGGGCAUUGGCCCCCAUAGCCUAUGAGCUGGAUCCGCCCAUGGUUGCGGCUCUCUUCUCCCACUGCACCCGCCCCAAUAUGUGCCAUGGUCUUUCUCUUCGCUCAAGACUGACCGUGGUGGCCUCCAUGGAGCUCAUCGAAACUCAAUGACUCAUUGAUGCCCUCACUCUCCUCCAAGAAGAGAAUCAACGUGCACUUGCGUAGGGGAUGUGUAGAAAAUUCAGUUCAAGUGCGAUCUAUAGGAUGCUCACCGACAACGGGCAAAUUGACCCCGCAGCCUCGAAGCUAUGGAAAUCCAGUUGCCCUUCCAAGAUCAAGAUUUCCGCGCGCUUGUUACCGAGGACAUGCUAAACACAAGGAAAAAUCUUCACUACAAAAACCGCACCCCUGCCGCAACUGUGCUUCCAGCAACGACAUCGAAAGUGGACUGCAUCUCUUCUUCUACAACCCUCUGGCCGCUCUGGACAAGGGUCGGCGUCAAAAACGACAUUGGCGAGGGUCGGCGUCACGCACGACAUUCGCGACUUCACGCACUAUGGGAUAUCACCUCGUGUGUUGAGCUCCCCAACACAAAUGGACAGUCUGCGUUUGCAUCCUUCUUUGUUUGGAAAGCGAGGAACGGCAUCGUCUUGAUGCCUCCCACUUCCUCCCCAGCGCAACCUCUGUCGAGCAGUUGCUGACAUAGGUAUCUAGAGCCACCGCUUCGCUCCAGAGGACGAAGAAAAUUCCCUUACUAUUAGGACUUACCUUGUAACUUGUAUCUAAUUUUUUUCUCUUCACACUCUCCUCUCCCUACUUUGUAACCCCUCCCAGGAUGGUUGUGCGCUUGCCGUCUUUCGAGUUAUAUUCAACAACCGGUGGGGAGAAAUCCCCCCUCCCCCCAUUCCUUCAAUCUUGAAAAAAAAAGUUUCCUAUAAAUAUAAUACAAAUAAAUCCUUAGAAAAAUAAGAUUGUGUCCUACAAAUCAAAUGACCAGCACAGAAAAAAUUCCAAACAUUUCAACCCUCCAAAAUUCCUAUAAAAAUCAUUUGAAUGAAAGGAGGAGGCCUAGAUCCGGAGACUUUUUGUACUAUCGAAAACCAUAGAUGUAGGCAAAAAGAUACAUAUAAGAGAACUUCCUACAUUUUCUUCCCCACAACUAGCACAUCUAUAAUUUUUUUGUAGAUGUAGACGCAGAUUCUAAUAACUGAUGGAAUAUUCUUUUUCCUGUUUUGUAGAAAAUAUAGGAAGUUCUCUUACAUACAUCUCUGUUAAACUAUAUUUUUCAUUUUAUGGUUGUGCACAUCAGUCGAUACAGAGGCCGGGGUUAUCCUCCUUUUCAGAAAAAAUAAUAAUUUUUUUUUAUUUUUGAUGGAAUUUCGUUUUAAAAAGUAAUAGGUGGACAUAUCCUAGUAGUUGUUUCUUUUCUUUUGACCAAGCACAGAUCCUAGAAGUUUGAUGUGGGCGUCAGGAAACAGGAACUUCCGUUAACUCAUGUACCAUAUCUAGCUCGGACUGUCGAUCUCAAUGAGAAAAAAAAGGAAGCUGGGACUGUGUCACUCCUCGUACAAAUAAUAAAGUAGUUUCCUCCACAUACAAACAGCAUAAUCACAAUCGCAACUGCUGUAAAAAAAAAGAUUUCCUAAUCACAGCUUGUUUAAAUUUCAGUAUACAAAAUAACGCUACCACGCUGAAGUUAAGAAAUAACAAGUUGUUUAAACUUUCGUUACUAGUUGACCAUACAGAUAAAAUUCUUCAUCACUCACAGAGCCUGGCCAUGCUCCCAUAGUUUCCACUUCCGACCAUAGAAGCAGCAGAGCACCAUCGAUAUGUAAAAUCUCAGUACAACAAAAAGAGAUACCUGUCUGUCAGUUGUCAAUACAAUUCGAGGAACUAACAAUGCUCGCGGAGAAUGAUGUCGACUAUCAUCGUCAGUUGCUCCUUGUGUUUCAUCAGCUGGAAGAGGCAGAGGUCCCCCUCCCGCAGGCGGUUGUCGCAAGCGAAAGAAGUCCAGCCUCCAAAUAUCCGCAAGCCGCCGCCGUCCCUGUCACGCAUCUCAGCAUGCCAUGUCUGGCUCUUCCCCUUGCGCUGAAGUACUAAAUUACGGCUCCCCUUUCGAAGGUAUGUAGCAGAGUAUUGCUUGCCAAAGGUCUGUUCAUAUAUACACAAGGACGAUAAACAAAGAAGCCUUGUAAUUAUGCAGAGAGAUAGCUGAUACAACAAAAUUGUGUAAUAACCAAGUCUCUCUUGAAUCUUGAUACAGUGGGUGGUUGUUUUGACACGUAGCUAUCACUAAUAUAGUUUUCCGACGAAACAUAAUGAAUGAAGGGACUACUGCACAUCCUUUUUUUUUUGCUGAUGUGGAUCUUGUUCAUGGUUAGAACGUAAAUGGGCAAAUGGGCACCACAGAUCUUCUUCUAGUCUGAUUUCUCUAAAGAACAUAACUGUCAAUUAAAAAUCAGAAGAAAUUUUUCUGAACUUACUAGCGACGAGGCAAAGCUCUGGCCAGUGAGAUUGGUCUUCUUCAUGACUGCGACGUAAAUGGGCAAUUCUGACCGAAUUGUUCCAAGUUUCUCCAAAACUUUCUUCUCCUGCGAUUUUGUUAGACGGGGACCCAUUGGCAUCAUGUAGGGGAGCUCAGAGCUUUCUGAACCAUCAUGCUCGAGAGAAUUCUCACUAAAUCCAUGUUCCGAAUAUAAGGUUGCUUCUCCUGAGCAAAUUUUUCACAUAAACAAACAGAAAAAUAUGAAUACUUUGGUGGAAAUACUUACGUAAGAAAACCAUACCGACAUCCGGUUCCUCCUUAACACGCAUGGUUGAAGCCAACUUUGAGUUUGCCAAACCACGGUUUGAGCCAAUAACAAGAUUUCUAGAGGUGUGAUCAUUACUCGCUUUGCGGAGCAGAUGGACUGCCACUUUGAAUGUUCUUCCAUUGGCUCGUGUUGUCGGUUGAAAGAGGCACAGAUCGCCCUCUAGUAAAUGGUUGUCACCUGCGAAGUCACAACCAAAAAGAUUGCAACGACCUCCAUCAGAUCUGACACGGAACUGACAGUGCCACUUCUUGGUCUGUCCAGGAAUCUGGAGUGUGAUUGUCUGAUUUUUGUGUGGAAAGUGUGCGAGUGCAUAAUCCUUAGGAAUCACCUGAUCAAAGAAAAGGUGCAGAAUGUGACACUGCUCAUGCAGAACUUAAAUAAACAGAACUUCACCAAGUACACAGAAAUAAACAGAACUUCACCCAAUAACAUGAAUUUCAACUGUAUAGCAAGACAAAGUAUGACCAUAAUGAAAGCUAAAUUCACCAAGUACACAGAACUACAAUUAUUAUGCGCCUUUGAGUGCUUUGUUCUCUUAUUUUCCUAGUGGCAAGCAAUAAGCCGUCCAUAUAUAAUAGUACAAUUGAUUAACUUAACGUACCAGGUCAGGAUAUGGUUUCAUAUUGGGCUUCAUCAUAGCCACAAGAGGAGGCCUUUCAGGUUGAAUUUCCUGGACAAGUGCAACUAUUUCUGCAUCCUGCUCUUUUGUUAAAUAGCACUGGCCUGAUAAGACAUAAGACUUUGAGAGUGUGUCAUCGUCUGACUCAGAAGACUCAUGCUCACAAGGACUUUCUUCUCCUGUAAAAUAAUUUCAAGAGUAAGAGAAACUGCAGUAAAAAAAAAACCUUAUAACGUGAUAAAAAGUUACAAGUUAGUUGUCAAGUUAACCUGACAAAUCCUUAGAUGGAGAAGAUAUCGCAUCUUUCCUUGCACGUUUUCUACAAUGGCCUGAGCUUCCACUCUGGCCUCCAUCUGAUCUUCCACAUGCUGACGACUGAAUAUUGUGAUCACUGGAACUGCUUGACAUGUCUGUAGAAUUUGUGCUUGGUUCUUGAUCACUAAUAUUGCUCUCUAUGUGAGCACAUGACACCACUUUCUCACAACCACUAGAAUCAAAGACAAUAACCUUAAAGCGAGAAUUUCCACGGUAUUGGAACAUCAAUAAGUCAUUCUCUACUAUGUGAUUGGCAUCGACAAACGCCUCCCAUCCAGAUCUGAGUAACGUUUUAUUCUGGUGCUCAGUAAUUCCAACAUCGUAUACACUACCAUUAGGCGCUUCUAGUUUGAUGGCUCCUGAGAUCUUCCGUGGGGAGUAGUUCACAAAGCUCUCUGGUAUGACCUACAGCAACCAUUGCAACUUUGUAAGAAGUAAGUAUAGCUUAAAUAGUGCCUUGAAGAAAAACUGAGACCAAAAGCACAACAGGUCUUGUUGCUACUAAUUCAUUUCUUUUGCGAAAACUACUGCUACUAAUUCAAUGACCAGGCAACCCACUGAACUUACCAUGACAUGUCUAGAAUUCCUGUUCAUCUUGCCAACGAAACACUUGACCUUGCCAUGUAAAUGAGUCCAGUAUCUCUUGCAGCACUCACAAGAUUUGCUCAUCUCGUGCCUAGUAAUGUCCUAUUUGGAGAAAAAUAUAUAUCAUGCCAGAUGGCACAGAAACAAAAUCUUGUUGUAUUCCUGCACCAACUUUGACAAAAUCAACUCUACUCUGCAACUACUCAUCAAGUUAAAAGACUUACAGUAAGAGGGGGAAAACUGCAGCUUAUUCCUGUAGGAAAUUAAUUAUAGAAGUGUCACUCCUUUGUCUAAGCUAGCUGCAGCAAGUCUUCUUGGCCCGAACAAAGGAACUGAAACAAAACAAGCAAAAUGUACGUGAAUGGAAAAUGUACGCAAGGCUAAGCAGCAAACAAAAACGAAAGACUUACUGCAGUACCGGUCGAAAGGAACUGAAUGCCCAGAACCCUUAGGUCUUGGUUGGAAUCCCAAAUCCUGCAAUCACCGUGUCCUGGAAGAACCAAACCUAGAGCCGAGGAUGGAUCAGAACGAAGGCAAGGUGUUCCUAGAGUACAUCUGCUGGUCUACGGUCCCGCGAAGACCCAGGGGGGAAGGCGCAGGUGGAAGGGAGAUUUGCCCUUUAAUCUUCGUCUCUCCGCUGGGACUAUAAACCGUAGCACUCUUUGUUUGCUGUGACCAAGAGGAGCACGCGCGCGCGCACACACUUGGCGAAAAAGGCACUUGCCCACGGGAGGAAGAUGAACCUUUAUUGGUCUUCGAAGGGUUCUCCUCGGCUUCUCCUCUGCCGUUAUUGGUCUUGGAAUAUGGAGAGGCUACAAUAGAAUCACGAGGAGACACAGCCUUCAGCAGCAUGGACGCGGCUUGCCCCGAAAAAGUCCGACGGCUUGGUGGAUCCGCUGCUCCACCCGCAUGCAGCCGUCGGAUACACGCAUCGGGAUAGAUGCUAACCCCCACCAGCCCAGACUGCUUCUUAGAGCAGGUACAAUAGUCCCACUCAUCAGGCUAUAACGCAGUACACGUCACCAAAAUUCCACAUAACGAGGAGAGAAGGGAGGUAGCGGGCGACUCAUGAAACGCCCGGCGAAAUCGCAACAAACGAAAAAGAAUAGCCGGCUUGCAGCCCAGAGCGAGCGCUAGGGCCGGCGCUCCCGAUCCGGUGCUCCUCCCGCGCUUCUCCCUCGCCCCCCGCACUUCUCCUCCACUGCCGCGCCCUUUGCCUCGCCCCAAAUCGUGUAUUUUGUGCCAAAUCGAAUAUCCCCAAAUCGCCGAACCCUAGAAUUGCCACCGGCACCACGAGAUGGGUCAGCACUCCAAGAGGACGCGCGCGCCGGCGCCUCAGCCCGUCCCUCCGUCGGUGCCCCCGUCUGUCCCUCCGUUGGCGCCUCAGUCCGUCCCGCCGCGGCCGCCUCAUCUUGUCCAGCGUCCGCCCCAUCCUUUCUUGCCAUCGGCCUUCACUUCCACGCACGGACCAGGUCAUUGGAUCCCUUCACGACCACCGCAGUCCAUGGCGCCCUCCUCUGCAUCAAGUUGGCUCGCCGGGCUGCAGCAACAGAGUGUAGUAGGAAAUUCGGCUCAAGGCCCUUGCUGGGCACCACCUGCCGACAUUGGUGGUUCUGCAUCUCCUUGGUACACGACAGGGAAUAUUGACAACUGGUAAAUUAACAAGGGUCUGGUUUUAGAUAAUGUUACAUCAGAUUCCUGGUCCUGCAAAGGAGAGCAAAUUUGCUGACAAUAAAAUAAUCUAUUGUGAAUCUAACUAAUAGGAUUUGACAGAAACUAGCGUAAUCUAAUUCCAGUAACCUGUGCAUAAUUUUCUUCAAUGUUACCAACAUGUGUUUCUUUUGGUAAAGCUGGAGUUUUCUAAUUCCAACAACCUGUAUAUAAACUUUUUUAAUGCAGCAUGUUAACAUGUGUAUCUUUUGGUGAAGGAGUAUGCUAAUUCCAACAAUCUAUUUGUCAAUUUUUAAAAUGGUACAUACCAACAUGUCUACUAGUCUUGCGGAUUCCCUACAGUAGUGAGUAAAGUAAAUAAUAUGAGGUUAAUUGUUUGAUCAUCUAUUGCUUGAGGAGGGGAAUGGAUUCUUACCCGCCCGGUGGCUUCCUUAGUCUCUUUCAGAACACAUCAAGCCAAGCACAAGCCAUUAGCAAUGGGACUCCACAACAGCCAAUCAAUGUUGGCGAUGACAACAAUGGUGGCAACUGUCCAAGGACUGAGAAACGCUUGUUGUGGACAAAAGAGUAGGAUCGUAGAUUGGUAAGCUUGUUUCUUUGCAUGCUGGCUCCAUGUAUUAAAUUACUAGCACAACAAUAAACUCUUUAUAAUAUUAUAGGUUAGUGCUUGGUUGAAUAAUUCAAAUGAUCCAAUCCAAUCAAAUUACAAGAAGAACGACCAGUAUUGGAAAGAUGUUGCUGCUGUUUACAACAGUACCACCCCAAAAAACAGGGCAAGGCUAGUCAAGCAAGUGAAGGAUCGCUUUGCGAGAGUUAAGAAAAGGGUUGCAUGGUUUUGUGCGAGCUGGAAGGAGGCUAAUGCUUUGUAUGCCAGUGGUGAGUCUGAUGUGGAUUUAAAGGAGAGGGCAAUGAGAACUUAUGAGACAGACCAUAAAGAAGAUGGUCCAUUUAUGUUUGAGCAUUGUUGGGAGUUUCUCAAAAAGGAACCAAAAUGGGAUGCCUAUUUGGAACGCCUAGAAGAUCUAGAGCUGGACAAGAGGAAGUUUAGUGUUGAUGAUGAAGUGGGGCAGCAUUUCACUCUAGAUGAUGCUCGUGAUGAACGGCCACCAGGUGGCAAGCAAGCUAAGGAGCAGCGAAAACGCAAAAUAAAGGAUCAGGAUUGUAUUGUAGAUCUUGAAGUUGAGCUUACCAAGUUUGUAGAUGCUCAGAAUGCAGCAAAUGAAGGCCGCAAAGAGAUGCUAGAAACACAAAGGCGUGUGUCUAGUGAGAAUCUUGAAGCUCGGAAGCUUGUGUGCCUUGCAGCAAAAGAUCACAAGGAGUCAGUCAUGCUAGAAACGUACCGAUCGUUGAUGAUGCAAGACACAAGUGGGAUGCCCGAAGAUGUGAGAUCCGAGCACGUGUUGGCACUGAAGUGUUUUAGGGAGAAGUUAUUUGGCAAAACUGAUUGAGGUAUUUCCUACUAUCCACUAUCUUAGUUAAAAUCGAUUUUAUUUCACAUUAUUCUGUGCUGAAAUAUAAGAUUUUAAUAUGCUAAAAUGUACCAUUGCUUAAUAAAUUAUAUUUGGCUUGACAGCAUGCUUGAUUAUAGGGUUAUGGUCUUUUUUUUAGUACUGAAUCUGUGAAUGUGAGGCUGAAAUAUAAGAUUUUAAUAUGCUAAAAUUAUAGUCAACAAACCUCACUUAAGUGCAGUCCGGAUAACCAUGCAAGAAGUGAAAAAAAUCAUGUAGUCAUGGUCCAACCACACUUAACUACAAUGCAGCUCAGAUAACCAUGUAACAUAAUUAUACACCCAAGAAAACAUGACACAUCUAUAUAAUGCUCUAUCCUCUCUUCAGCCUACCAGUCCAGACUCUUCCUUCUUCUACCUCUCAUCUUCCCAUUCAGCCUACCAGCCCAGCUUCCUCUCCCACCAUGUCGGAUUCUGAUGAGCUAGCCCCAUCCAAAAUCAUGGAAGUCUAUGGUACCGAGCAGAAUGUACUAUACUCCUUUGCUAAGAGGCUCGUGAUGAAAAUCGAGGCUAGGCUCGGGGCUAGAUCCUCUAAGCGACGACACGGUCCAAGGAAAACCAUUCGGAGGGAUCAUGGAGGUGCUCAUCAGCGUCUGGUGGAGGACUACUUCGCUGCACAACCACUCUACCCCGAGAGUAUGUUCCGUACAAGAUUCCGUAUGAAUAGAGACCUCUUCCUACGCAUCGUGAAUGCCCUUGGUCAGUGGUCUCCCUAUUUCACUUAUAGGGCCGAUUGUUCUGGUCGAAUAGAGCUCUCACCAUUGCAAAAGUGUACGGCAGCCAUGCGCAUGCUAGCAUACGGGACCCCUGCUGAUGCCCUUGAUGAGUACUUGAAGAUUGGGAAGAGCACUGCAUUGCAGUGUUUGGACAAGUUUGCACAAGGGGUGAUUCGGGUGUUCGAUGGGGAGUACUUGCGACGCCCCACACGAGAGGAUGUCGAGCGUACACUUCAUGUUAACGAGUCUCGUGGUUUUCCUGGAAAUAGGAAGUAUCGAUUGCAUGCAUUGGCGAUGGGAGUUGUGUCCUUUAGUAUGGAGGGGGCAAUUCACCCGCGGUGAUUAUGGAGUACCAACAAUGGUCCUAGAAGCCGUUGCUUCUUCUGUUCUACAUAGUCCGGGGGGUCGCCUUGUAUAAAUAGUUCGGGGGGCAAAACGACAUAGGCUGGGCUUCUUCUAUUCUACAGUACUGUAUAAGGGCUGGGCUUCUUUCAUGGGCUUCUUCAACAUAGAAAUGGAAAGAGAAUACGAGAACGGAUCAUUUGCACCGGUGACACCUCCCGUUACCUCAACCUUCUCGACUCCUCGUCCUGCGCCUCCUUGACUCGUCUUCCACAACACGACCCGCUGCCGCCGAGGCAAGGAGGAAAGAGAUUGGUGAUGGCGGCCGUGGGAUGCUCCAAGGCGAUCGGCGAGUUCACCUGGAGGAACAUCCCGACUUCGAGCCGGCGACUCUCCCAACGACGGACACCGGCGCGGCUUAUGGUCUUGUGGUGGAUUCAGUUCAGGUUUCAGUUGUAAUCAUAAUCGAACUGCUCAGGUAUAACUCGGCUCUCGCAGGUAGACCUCUUGUCUGCCCUACAUCCAGCUGUCAUGCUCAACAACACAGACUCAACAGUCACCUCACAGCUCACCUCACAAGUCACCUCACAAGUCACCUCACAAGUCACUUCACCAGUCCACUCAUGUCAUCUCAGAUCCACAUCAUCAUCGAGUCACCGACAGAAUCCGAACACUUAGACGAGACUGACACUCAUUCCAUGAAUACCUAAAUAAGUCUUGUCAGUCUCGUCUAAGUGUUCGGAUUCUGUCGGUGACUCCAUACGAAAAGGAACUUUUCUGUUGCUGCUUCAAGGAUUUGAUGUUAUGAUGAACACAAUUGUGAGCAGUGAAAGUUAGGGCAAAUGGGCAUUGGAAAAAAAAGAUGAUCCCUGGUCUCGAUUUGCAAACCUUGGCACAACACACAUUCAUAGGUGUGCAGAUGGAAAUUCUUCGUCUGCAACAUAGCUCAAAUUCUUCUUCAUCAUGUUUAUGAAUGAAAAGUAGUACUCCCUCCGAUCCAUAUUAAUUGUCAAAAUGUUUCAGAUAAUUGUCAAAAUGUUACGUGUAUCUAGAUGCUUUUUAGGCAUAGAUACAUCUAUAUUUGGGCAAAUUUGAGACAAUUAAUAUUGAUCGGAGGGAGUAAGAGAGAGUAGUCUUUUAAAACAUGUACAAUCCACUUGUGCAAAGUGGCAGAAAUUACAUGACAUACUCGCAUCAUAAGACUGUUUCCUUGGCUUGAGAACCUAUAAAACAAUGUAUUAGAGGAGAAGCUUAUAAUGGCCAAGCCCAUGAAUAACUCCUAAGCUGUAUUGCACCUAGACCAGAAAAUUGUUGAUAUAAGAGCACAUAUGUCUAUUGGAAAAUAGAACCAGAUGCACUUUCUGGAUUAUAAGCUGGAGCUGCAUCAUCAAAUCCAUGAGAAGCGUGGGUUUAUUCCAGCGGUACCAAUCCAAUUAGAUAAAGACCAAGACAAAAGACAACAUACUGAAGAGGAUCAGCUGGGGAAAAAAUGAUGCUUGAGAUGAUGGAUCGAUGAGCGUGCAAACUGAGGCCAUCCCAGCUCCAUUUAGCUACUGAUUUAGCUUUGGUUCACAGGAUUUUGAACAGCUAAUAGCACUGGAUGGAACAGAAAACAAAACCAAGAGCUAUUUAAUCGUACAUAGUACCAAGACCUUACCAAAGCAAAGAAUCUGUAAAGGACGUAGAUGGAGCUCAUGCCUAAUAACCUUGAAGGUUGUAUCCGCAAUGAGAACCUCCUAAAGUAUAGACCACUAAUAGGUAAUCAAAGGCAUGAACAUCUAACAGCAUGCAAAUAAUGCGAAUAAAUGUUGGUAAAUGAACAAACAGACAUAUUCCCAAUUGCAUUCAUACGGAAGCACUUCAACAAUCUUUGUUCCGAAAAUAAAAUCUAGAUUAUAAAUGAAAAUGUAACCGGGAGUUAGAAGUUUCUCAAUAUAAUAAACCAUGAAAAUUAUUGAUCUUGGCUCACUUAUAUGGAUAUAACAUAGUGCGAUGUGAGGUUUUGCCCCCUCGACAGUCUGAAUACUCCAUAACAACAACUGACAGUGACAUGCCACGAAUGAUAGCGUACAUAAUUUAAGUUAUCAUACAUACAUAUACAUGGAUGCUAAAGCAGUAAAGCAUGAAAAGAUAAAACUAACCGUCCCUCCCAGCCUCAAAGAUUUGCUUGAAGAAAUAGAUUGGAACCAGGAUGAACACUGCCUGCACAAAAUGAAGACGGGGGAGACAUAAUAAAUUACAGCUCGAACACAAUAGAAUCGUUGGCCAGAAGAGGGGAUUGCAGAGAAAUUUUUAAAAAGAAGACGAAUGUAUAGUCGUAGAGAGCUAAGAGAGGGGCAACCUAGGAGAGAACCAUAGCUGCUCCAGGAUCUACUGCCGGAGGGGAAUAGGGAGAGCAAGGCAACAAAGCAUGUACAGACCCUGACCACAACCUUUGAAGCUCUAUCCCAUAAACGUUUCAAAUCACCACGAUCUUGUCAACACUUUCUUCAAUUUUCACACCUAAAACUCAAGAAUAUAGAUCAGUAAAUUGUUGUUUAAAUCCGGAUUGAAUGAUAUGCUGCAACUAAUAAAUCAACACAAAUUAAGGAUCAUCUGAAUUGGGGGAAAAAUUGAAGAGUUGAGCAAAAUGAAGAACUCACGUUGCGGUGGUCGGGUCGUUGGAGACGUGGAGGAGCCGUACGCUGCCGUGCCGGAGUUCCAAGGACGAGACGUGGCAGCGCUGGAGAGGACGACUACGAUUCGGAGGGCACGUGACGCGGGGGCAAGGCGCAGUGCGCUGCCGGCUCAGCGCGGUGGCUUGGGAGUGUGGGUAUGUGCAGGCGCCGCGGGGCUCGACGGUGGCUCGCCGUCGGGGCGGCGCUCCCCUGGCUCCACCGCCCCUUUUUAUCCCCCAACCGUGAACACCCUAGUGGCAAGGGAAUCCACCACAAGACCAUAAGCCGCGCCGGUGUCCGUCGUUGGGAGAGUCGCCGGCUCGAAGUCGGGAUGUUCCUCCGGGUGAACUCGCCGAUCGCCUUGGAGCAUCCCACGGCCGCCAUCACCAAUCUCUUUCCUCCUUGCCUCGGCGGCAGCGGGUCGUGUUGUGGAAGACGAGUCAAGGAGGCGCAGGACGAGGAGUCGAGAAGGUUGAGGUAACGGGAGGUGUCACCGGUGCAAAUGAUCCGUUCUCGUAUUUUCUUUCCAUUUCUAUGUUGAAGAAGCCCAUGAAAGAAGCCCAGCCCUUAUACAGUACUGUAGAACAGAAGAAGCCCAGCCUAUGUCGUUUUGCCCCCCGGACUAUUUAUACAAGGCGACCCCAAUCGGAUUUAAGGUUUCCUUCGAUUGCGUUAGAGAAAUCCAAUCGGCGAGGGCGGCGAGGUUACAUCAAUUCAUUGGAGGAGAUGGAUGUGGAGAGGCUACCCGCGAAAAAGCCUAGGAAAGCGGAGGGAGAAGCUGCUAUAGCGGCGGCGGAGGCGACGGCUAAGUCUGCUAGACUGGCGGCGGCAAGGGCGUCACGAGAAAAGAAGACUAGGAAGAUGGAGGAAGAGUGGCGGAAAAGAAUUGCAGAACCUGUCACGGACGAGGAAUUGCGACGACGUAAGGAAGCCCAGGAGAAGUUCAUCAGCGAAUCUUGGGAAAGGCUUCGCGAUAACUGGCCUUGCGAGGAACUUAUUCCCUAAAAAGCCAUCAGUAAGUUGUUAUCCCAAACUAUUAUUCUGCUGCAUCUUUAAUUUCCUAAUUCCUAGGAUCGAUGCAGCGAAAAUCCCCUGUUUCGGUUGAUACAUUCAUUUUUCGCUUUGUCUGUGAUGGCCCUGCGGUUUCCUCCCUAGUACCGUUUUGUAUUGGUACAGUAGGUUUCCUGUAUGGAGAACGGGAUCUAUAAAUGCCUGAACCUGGUUCGGUUAAAUGUAAUGAAGCCAGGAAGCCCUGCUCCCUGUUUGUCUUUCCUUUUGUUUCUCUAGCAAAAUAUGUCCUGUUAUUUUGAUACGGUAUUUUGAUACGGAACAUAGAGUCGUGUGCUUCAAAUGCAAAAAGGAAUUUGAUUGAUCUGGUUUUAUGUUCAUACAUCCAUGACUACUCUUGCACCUAAUAACAGUUUUCACGUGAUUGAUUGAUGCAGCGGAAAUCCCCUGCAUGCGUUUCACUGAUGCUGACCUCGAGCAUCAUCCUUAUCGGUCCUUGAUCAGCCAGAUGGAUUCUAUGCAGAUCGUUUCAGUCCAAAUCAAAGCAUUAACUGAAGGUUUACAGUGGCCCCUGGAUGUCUAUGGUUUCAUCGCAAUACGUGAUGUGUUGGAUCGCAAACGAUUUUCAACCGCGAAAGGAAGGACUGACAGACUAUAAAGGAGCAGGUUCGUGAAAACUGCAAUUAGGAUUAGAAUAUAAUAGUAGCAAGGGAGAAAAUCCCAAUCAUUUGUGCUUCAACAGACAUCCCUUAUCAAGCUAGUUUUAUGUGCUACUGCAAUAGUUAGUCAUACUAAGUUUUUACAAAUCCGUGGUAAAAAUUAUCAUGCCUACAAACAGGUGUUUCUGAACAAAGUUGUGACUGUCCUGAUUUCAACUCGAGUUAGUUAUAUACUCCCUCCGUCCCACAUUAAGUGUCACAACUUUGUCUUGAUACGCAUAUACGAACCUACACACUAAAGCCCGUCUAGAUGCAUGCAUAUCUAGACAAAGUUGCGACACUUAAUAUGGUACAGAGGGAUCAUAAAAAAAAAUCUGCUUGUUGCCUUUGCCAAUGAUUUCAAAGAAAACUACAUGCCAAAUAACCAAUCUCAUCUCAAAGCUUUACAUGAAUAAGUUGGCAGAAGUUCCAGAGGGACACUUUUACAUGACCCAUAUGUUCCAGUUUUUGUGAAAAUGUGUAAUGUCACUGUUUGCAAUGCAUUUCCAGGUCUUCAAAUUAGAUGUGUUCUCCUUUGUUUGAGAUAUUGUUAUUGUUAUGAUGACUGCAUCAUUAUUACUGUUAUGUUGAAGAUGAUUAUUUUAUAAUUAUUAUUUUCAGUCACUAGAAAUAGGCUAAUGUUUCCUGACAUUGUUUGUGUUAUGCAACUCUCCGUACACACUUGCCCCCUCUUUGUUUUGUGUUCGCAUUAUGCCAUGCUAUGUUUAUCUCUUGGCUUGAGUUUAGUUAUUACUUGUUCUAAUUGGUUCCUGCACGCUAAAGAUUUUUUUAGUGAUUUCGACAUGUUCACUUCCAGUCUCAAAUUUUGCUGGUUACGUUUUCUAUGUUUGCCACUCACAGGUUUGUUAUUCAAAUUACUGUAAUGAAGGUCCUCUUGACACGUGAAAUCAUGUUUCAAAAGUACACUUUUACACUACCCGCAAAAAAAAAAGUACACUUUUACGCCUUUUUUUUCAAUGCCGGAUGAAUUGAAUAUAUUCCACUGCAUUCUUCUUACUAUUGAUGAAAGAAACAUUGUUGCUAUUCUUGCACAAUUAAUUGAUACAUGAAUUUUUUAUCAACAUUGGAUGAAUUGAAUACACCACUGCAGACUUUAUUAUUUUUCAUGAAAGAAACAUUAUUGUUGUUUACUUAAUUAGUUAACUGAUGCAUGCAGGAUUCAUAUCUAAGACUGACAUGUCCUACCCGGGGUGUUGUCAUCGGUGAUGAUCCUUCAUUUUUAGAGUUUGUGCUCAAAGUGAAGGGUCUUACUGAAUCAGAAGAUAAAGAUUUGAGCAAGUUCGCCACGACUUGCAGAUUGUGCGUGGGCUUCACCCAUCCUAUUGAGUACACUAGCAAGCUUUGCUCACUGGAGAUGCAGCACUACACCGUUCGUUUUUCUGCGGAGGCCACAAUUAGUGUUAAGAGUCUCUGAAGGGAAGUGGCCACAUGGUUUUCGAGGUGGACUUAUUGCUUGUACAGCUGCUGAAAGCGACAUCCAGAUUUCAUUGCUGGAUCUUAAUGAUGAUGAAUUGCCUGUUGAUUUUGAUGGUUUUAUCAAGCUAUCAAGGCGCGUUGUUUGUGUUGAAGAUGAUGGGAGGCUGGGAGUCUCUCCUUGAAAAUGGUGUUGGUGAUUUAGGUGCUAUAUGGUUUGCAGCUGAAAAAUCUCAAAGAAUCACACAUCACAUGCGUGUGAAGAAAUUCAGCUUAUGGUUGGAAGUUACUGUCGCAUGGUCCUUUUCUAAUCCCUGUGCUGGAAGUAAUUUGGAAUGCGUGUGGUUUGUUUUAGUUGCUGGAAGUGUGGAUAUUUGUACCCUGACUAGCAGGGUGCCCGUGCGUUGCGACGGAAUAAACGUUGCUGUCACAAUUCUCAAAUGAGCAAGUAUGUAGUGGUAUUAAUUCUUAUACCCACUGUUGUUGCAACUUGCGAUUUGCGAUGCACGACAUCUCAUCAUUGUUCCAAAUCAGUAUUUCUCCGUAAAAUACCUAUAAUAAAUUUUUAUAUAAUAGGUUUUAAGGACGAAAUGACUUACCAUAUGCAGUUUCUACGUGCAAAAAAAAAGUGCACACCGGUCUAGUGGUGUUGAGACUCACCUGAGUAGACAAACUGACAAAUAAACAGAAAGUGGCCAUAGUUGUGCUUCUUGAUAUUUCCUAAUUAUAGAUGUUAAUCAAUUACGGGAACUCAGCUAGUGCUUCCCAGUGGAACUUCAAAUCAUUAACUAUUGAGAUAUCUGAACUGCCGCUCAUUGAUCUUGAAGAUUCAAAAGAGGCCUUUUUUACAACAUCCUUCAUGACUUGAAUACUUAAGAGAACAAUGAUUUCCACACCAGAAAAUAAAAUAAAAGUUGGCCAGUAUUUUGUGAUGUACUACCUCCGUUCCAUAAUUCUUGUCUCAAAUUUGCCCCAAAAUGGAUGUAUCUAUUAUAAAAAAAUGUCUAGAUACAUGUAAUAUUUUGACAAGAAUUAUGGGAUGGAGGGAGUAUCUCUUAUUCAUACCAAAAGUUCACGAACUUUACAGAUUGAAGCACUCUACUAAAUACAUGUGAAAGAUUGGCAUGGAAGAACAUGGUUGGAGCAGAGUACAUCGUUUUCCUUGACACCUCGUUGUUCUUGUUCACUGUUCCUCUAAACUUGACAUAUCUACACAGGGUAGGGGAGAAAUCACUAAAUCAGAGCAUGACUGUUGAAAUCAAGAAAAAAAAAAGAGCAUGGCUUGAGAGAUCUUUAGAUAUUUGUUAGAUCAUGUUGGAACAUUGCAAUACGUCUUUGAAUCUGUAUGAAGAAAGAAGGCCUAACCUAUGCUAGCUAGAGCAAUCUCAAACAGUCACCUUGCAAGUAAAUUAGAUGUAGGUAUGGACUUGCAACAAGUUCGUUAAUGGAAAAACUGGGAGCAAUCUACCAUUUAGGUCAAAUCCAUGACUGAUCGUUAUUAUCUCAUAAUUAAUUAGUCGACUGUGCUCUCUGUCCUGAAACAACAUGUCUGCUGAAUUAUUGUUUUAGGACCUGAAAAAUUAAUAUGAAUGUUCAUAUCCUAAACUGAUCCAGUUCCCUGGAAAGAUCACCAACAUAAAGAAAAACCUGCUACCAAAUGAAUCAUGCAAGACACACUACAUUCAAGACAAAUCAGAGAUCUUAAGGUACAAGGAAAAAAAAACACUUGUUUACCUCGUUGACAGUAUACCAAAAAUUGAAAACAUGCAGGUUUUUUAUUGAUAUUAUGCAUUGACACAUAAAGCUAUGGUGUUCGUAACAUCUGUCGUUCCAGUGGUCCAUGGGGUACCACUGAUAUGGGACGCGUGGGUCGCUAGUGACGAAGCCUCGUCAGGAAGGCCUCCCGGGAAGCAAUAGGUCCGGGAAGCCUGCCUUAGGGAGACGGUCCUUGGUGAGGGUAAAGCUAAGGGCCGGAAUGGGAGAAGUGCCCGGGAACCCUGGUCCCGAGAAGUGGAGGAAAUGUCUCCCCGGCAACUGGCCGGGUGCGCUAGCCAGGAAGGGGCACCCUAGCAACCCACGCUCGGGCAUGUAGGCAGGGCCCGCAGAAAAGUGAAGACAGGACAAGAUGGCGGACACAGUGCAUUUAAUGCACCGACAGGAGACCUAUCAACAGGCCUAGUCUUGCUCAGCAAGGCUAGGACGUCUACUCUACAAGUCAUUUUUUCUACUGUGUACAGUGAACCGGGCGCUGCAUGGCGCCCAGCGUGGAUCAAAAACAACGUAAUUCUUGUGGCUGUGACACGCGUCUAGAAGUCACGCUGCAUGCAUGUCACCUGUGGUAUUCCCUUGUCUAUAAAAGGAGGACCGAUGCCACCGGUCAAAGGAGGACUAAUGUACUCCCUCCGUCCUAUAAAAGAUGUCUCGAGUUUGUGAAAAUUUGGAUGUAUCUAGAUGUGACUUAGUGUAUAGAUGCAUUCAAAUUUAGUCAAAACUGAGACAUCCUUUGUUAGACGGAUGGAGUAUUAUGUUUGUCUACGGAAUAACUGGUUAUGGAUGCUUAUAUGAACAAAGUUACUUGUUCCGAGUCUUGCUAAUUCUAUUUUUCUUGUGAGGUUUUUCUUUUCUUUUCAGUUGAGGCAAAACUAGACUUGAUGCUCUAGUUUUUUGUCCCCAGAGAUUUACAGCUUGAUUAGAAACCUUGCUCAUAAACUUAUUCUACUGAACAUAGGUGGAUUGAUUUACACUUUGGCCGGUGCUGCCGUUGAAUCGACCUAACCUCCCCGCCCUCGCUGAUUGGGAUUUAUAUGUAACGCGAUGGAAGGCAUCUUAUCUGAUUGGAUCGCCUUGUAUAAAUUGACCGGGUGCAAACGGAUAUAGUCUGGGCUUUUUCUUUUUCACUCGGUCGACGCAAAAAAAAUUCCCUGCACCCGCCAGCCCCGACAUGGUAAACGGCUACCCAGGGUUAAAACUUAAAAAUAUCUGUGUUUACAUCACACCUUUUUCUUGCGGAUCAUGUUUACAUCACACUAACUUGAUGAGAACAUAUAUAAUCGGAUUAAUAUAAUUAGUUUUGGCAACGUAUCUAAUGCAUCCGGUCAGGUCCGUGCAUCUGUGUAUCCCGUCGUCGUGGGUCGUCAGUUUGAAAUCGUGCGUCUCAUGUUCAAAACGGCAGAAAUUUACAAUUAGCCGCCCGCCUGGAACUAAACCAGUUUUCUUCUUUUGCAGUAACCCCAAAACUCUAAUCCUCCUGUCUUGCCGCUGAAUUCCUCUCCUGGGUGGUUCAUGGCCUCACUCCGAUCUCAAUCUCGUCGACGGCAACCAAGACAACCCAUUCUAGAUGUGGCUCCCAAAUCAUCAGCAUCAGAGGACAGGACGCCGGCAAUCCAUCCGGAGGAAGCUGCAUCAAAUCAAUCAUUAGACAGUGUUACAUGAAUUGUAGCAAAGUACUGGUGUUUGCAGCAUAGCUAAUGGAAUUGUCCCAACUGAGUUGGACUGUUGGAGUGAUUAUCUUCAUUUCUGAAGUUUUUGCUUCUAGAUGUCUGCUUGUCAACUUCAGAAUAAUUGUUGGGUGAGAUAUUCAAAUAUAAUUUGCUUGGAUUUCGUGAAGAAGAAUUUCACUCUCUCGGUGUUAUAUUUGCUAUUCGGAUGUUCAAAUGAAAGGGUUUACUGCUGCAUUGAAACAAGGUCCCUUUGCCUACUUGCCUGUACCAUAUCGAUCACUGAAUAGGUGAUAAAGCUCAGGCAUCAUCGGAAAGUGUUGUCGCUGCCCUCCUUAAUUUCCUUGGAACAAAAGAAUGCAAUCCUCUACAUUUGUAUGAUUGGGAUUUGGGGCUAAUAAAAUUCAAAUUUGGUUCCCAUAUUAAUUUCUGAAGCAUCAAAAUAUGAAAAUCCUGAUGUUGCUAACAGACUGAAACUUGUUGAUUCUGUAGCAUCUACUGAUCGUCCUCCUAAAGUACAGACGAAAGAAAUUGAUCUUGGGAUAUUAGGGAGCAUCCGCAAGUCGACCUCGGCAGCCCGUCAGUGUCGAAGUAGAGGCACGCAUCACGUCCUUCCUGGGUUGAUCCUGCACCUUGGCUUGCAAUCGCGAGGGGGGCACUGCGUCCGCGCAUGGACGUCGAGACUCCGUCGCCGUAGAUCAAUCUACAGUUCUGCAUGAAGUGUCGAUCGCUAUAAGGAGGCAAGCGGGCAUGGUCGGUUGCUCAAUGCAAUCCAGAGCGCAGGGGGGUUUGUGCAAAAGAAAAAGGCUAUAUUAAGCUAGAAAGGGGCGUUUUAAUGUAAAAUCACAGCAGUAAAACAAUUACCACUUGAUCUCAAUCGGAUGCACAAACUUGGCCGGAUUCAAACCCCCCCCCCCCCACCCACCCCCCACACACACCCACCCAUGUGAAUAGUCAUCCACUUGUCCAUCUUUACCACUGCCUUUUUUUCUUUCUUCUCUUCUUUCCUUCCCACUACUACACGGUAACAAGAAAAAGAAGAAGAUGAUAUGUGGAUCCAUCAUGAAAGAAAAAAAAUAAGAAAAAAGAAAACAUAUUUAAAAAGAGAAAAAAAAAAUUUAGUAUCAACCACCGUUGGAGUGGCCUAACCCCCACACAAAUUUAAUGUUUCAUCCCACAAAUUUCUCUCUCUGGAAACUUUUCCUCAGUUUACAAGGAGGUUAUUGUUUCGAAAAAUAAGUUUGACCAUUAAUUAGAUCAAUAUAUUAGUUAUUUUCCAUGAAAAUUACGGAACUACUGCACGUCCGACAAUGGUGUGUACGACUUUCGUACCACAGUGAAUCUGACAGGUCUCCUGUUCUUUGCAAAGCAGACUCACGGUUUGAUCUGAUCAUCGUACAUGAAUCGUACUGAAAUCAUCGUAUGUGUAGCAGUGCUGUGAAAAUUAUUCUACUAGGGACUUAUUUUGAAUACAAAUUUAAUCAUGUAAUUUUUAUGGCAUAUAACCAUAUAGUACUAUUAAUCAAGUAUAUUGAUGGUCAAAGUUAACCUUAAAAUACAAACAUUGUACACCAAGACCGAGGCGGUAACUUGGAAAUGAACAUUGUAGCAUUUCUUUGGGCACAGAGAUUGGAGACGUCUACCAAUGCAUGUUUUUCCCUUUCCAAUGGAGAAAUGAGAAACGGCUCUCCUGAACCUGCUGUUCCACAAUUCUUAAUGCAACAAACAUGGAGUACAACUACAAAAGAAUCCUUCGCUGAGAAGCACACUUCAAAAGGGUCUGAAGCAGAAAGUCAUCACCUGAACAGGAAUUACUAUACUUCUAGAAAUUCAGAAUUUAAGGCGUGCAAAAAGUAUCCAUGGUUUAGUUUUAAAGUACCAAACAUAGUUCCAGCAGAAAUAUCAGGGGACACUAUUCUCCUUUACUGCAACCUAACACUGAUGACUGAAAAUGAUAUGGACCACCAUUGUAAGUUUCCUCCGGUUCUUCUUUAGUUCGAACAGACAGAUAUCUCCGACUUGCAGACGGUUGUCAAUGACGAAUUUGCGCCAACCUUCACCAAGAACCCACCUCGUGCCGUGCCGAACACGCAUCUUAGUGUGCCAUAUCUUCCCCGUAUGCUGGAGCAACAUAGUUUGCCCUCCCUUUGGCAAAUAUACAGCAGCAAAUUGUGCACCAAAUUCCUAGCAGGUUACAUAUAUAAACGCAUUAAGAUCGCAGAUCAACCAACUAUGUUGAUAAAAUAAAACUACUUUGAGAUUAGGAGUAGUUAUCUGGUUCAGAAAAAUAUGGUUUUUCUUUUAUUUGAUUGCGAAAGUAAAUUCAGAUCAAAUAGUACGGUAAAUUGGAGACACCCUGAUUAUGUGCAUUUCAGCAAAGAAGGGGUCAAGCAGGCAAGAUAGGGAACCUAUAAUCUCCAGUUUUCUACUAUUAUAAAACCUAUUCCAUCACUAUCCAGUUCCUUGGUCCAUAUCAGACAUAAAGCUGCUAACAAAGAAAACUUACCCAAACCGACGUCCUUGGAUAUCUACAUUGUUAAAAUUAGUUCGUUCAAGGAAGAUGACAACAUGGGUCAUCUUCCACUGGUAAAAAUAAAAUACCAAAAAGAAUUUAGCGUACCAUGGUGUAACGCUGAUUGACACCAACACUUGUGUUGUUCAUGAUUGCCACAUAUAGGGGUGCUUCCGAUUGGAUGGCUUGCGUUUUAUCUUCAACUAAGCUCUGUUGCAAUGGUGAUAGACUGCUCGUUUGUGAUAGUAUGUAGGGUUUCUCCUGCUCAUCAGAAGGACCUGCAUGCAUGUCGUUUUCCACACGAAGUAGAUGAACGGUAAAUGUGGACCUUCUCCCACCCUUCGCUGGUACGAAGAUGCAGAUAUCUCCCUCCUCCACGCGGUUGUCACACACAAAGUCUGACCACUGGCCCCUAAUCUUGUGCAUACUUCCAUCCUUCCUCUUGUAGAAUCUGGGGUGCCACUUCUUGCUCUUGCCUGGCCUCUGAAGUGUGACAGAGGCACUUUCACGGGGAAAGUAUACAGUUGCAUAUUCCUUGCAGAUGAUCUGAUUACAAAUGGGACAGGAUGUGAUGCCAUUAACAAGCAAACAAACAAAAAUAGGAAACUCAGGCCAACUAUACUUCCAAUUGUCAAGAAAGAAAAAUCAUUUUAAGUUUUACAAAGAGCUAUUAGGACAUGAAGAUGACAUGGCUAUCCUAUAAUAUUGAAAAUAUAAAUACCUCUCUAAUUCUAUGGAGGAUUUUGGUGUACUGAGAAAGAACUCAAGAAGUGUACCAGACAGGGAUACAAUGGUUGAACAUUGGACUUCCUCAUAAUAGCCACGAAUACACGACUUCUGGGUUGAACUUUCCGGAUAAGCAUAACCACUUUCUCCUUUUGUGCUUCAGCUAAAUAACUCCAACGCGACAACACAUAAUCAUGCCCUGGAGGUGUGCAAACAUCAUCUGAAUCAAAAAAAUUGCAUCCUGAAGGAUUAUCUUCUCCUAUACAAAAUUUCGUAGUAAAAGAAUAAUUAAUAAGUAAUUUAAUGUUUGAUGCAUAUGUGCAUGUAAAUUUGACAAUAUACCUGAUUCCUCAGAUGGAGAGGAUAUCACAGUCUUGUUUGUAGUAUUUCUACUAUGGCUUGAGCUUCCACUUUCGCAUCCAACUGGUCUUCUGCUCGCUGUACAUAUAAAUAGGUUCUCGCAUAAAUAAGACAAAACUAUGAACUCUUCGAUUGGAAAUACUUUUGUCAUAUUGCCAUACCGUCAGACUGCUCCUCCUUAACACACACUUGUGAGGUCAUCUUUGUGCUUGCAGAACUAGGAAUUAUAUCUGAGGGGUGAUCAAUACUCGCUUUCGGAAGCACAUGGGUCAUCACUGUGAAUGUUGUUCCCUCGUCAUUCGUCAUUGGUUGAAAGAGGCAGAGAUCUCCCUGCAGUAAAUGGUUGUCUCGGACAAAAUAACACCCAUAAAGAUUGCACCGACCUCCAUCUGGUCUGGCACGGAAUUUGCAGUGCCACGUCUUUGUCUGCCCAGCCAAUUGGAAUGUGAUGAUUUGGCUUCUGUGUGGAAAGUAUGCGGUUGCAUAAUCCUUAGGAAUAACCUAAUAACAAAAGGAACAUCAUGUGACACUUGUAAGUUAAUGGAAAUAGAUUCUCCGCCCACAGCUCAGAUUUGAUAUUUGUUUACAAUAAUUAACAUGUAGAUAUAAAAUGUAUUGGAUAGAAAAUCUGAUUGUUUCAGGGGAAAAUGACUGUCACAUGGCUCCACAAAGCGUGUUGCGUAAUCCUUAGAAAUAACAUAAUUACAAAAGGUGCAGCAUGUGACACUGUUGUAAGUUUUAACAAAUUAUGCAGGUAAGCAUGAAGUUUAUGACCGGAAAAAGUCACCAAGUACACAGAAUGAUUUUGUAUCUUUCCAUCUUUUAUUCGAAAAGUGUCUUCCAUUGUUUCAUUAGAACCAGAACCAGUACAGGCUUUCCUAAACAAUAUUCAAAUGACAAACGUAUAUGGCGGCACGCAAUAAGCAGUUCAUAUUGAUUUCAAAUAACUAAAUUAACGUACCAGGUCAGGAUAUGGUUUCACGUUGGGCUUCCUAAUCAAAGUAACAAGCAGAGGCAUGUCAGGUUGAAUUUCGUCGACAAGUGUAACUAUUCGUGCCACCUGCUCUUCUGUUAAAUAGCAUUGCACUGAUAAGAUAUAAAGAGGCUUUGGGACUAUGUGAUCAUCCGACUCGGAUGAGUCAUGCUCAUAAGGAUUAUCUUCUCCUGUAUCAGAGUUUUCAUGAGUACGAAGAACUGCAGUGAAACGGCACAUUAUAAGUACAGGUCAAUCGACAAGUUAACCUGACAAAUCCUCAGAUGGAGAGGAUGCUGCAUAUGUCUUUGCUCGUUUUGCACCAUUGCCUCGUCUUCCACUAUGGCAUCCAUCUGAUCGACUUACUGACAACUGAGUAUUAUGGUAGCUGGAACUGCUUGACAUGCCUACAGAACUUGUGAUUGGUUCUUGACCAAUGCUCUUUAUGCGAGGACAGGGCACCACUUUCUCGCAACCACUAGAAUCAAAGAGUGCAACCUUGAAGUAAGAACCCCCAAGGUAUCGGAACAUCAACGAGUUGUUAUGUACUAUGUUAUUGGCAUCAAGAAACGUCUCCCAUCCAGAUUGGAAGAUUGUUCUAUUCCUGUGCUUGGUAACUCCAACAUCAUACACAUUACCAUCAGGGGCUUCCAGUUUGAUAUUUCCUGGCAUCCUCCUUGUGAAAUGGUUCACAAACCUCUCUGGUAUGACCUGCAGCAACCAAUAUUAACUUGGAAGGAGUAUAAGUCUAAGGCAUUGCCUAUUUCUUAGCUGGCUCAGAAAUUUAUAUUAGUAAGACGUUAAUCUUGAUGUAUAUGAGGUCGUCACUUGGACCAUUAAUACUUUUUCAGUUAGUUGCCUAGUCAGAAAUAGAUGCAAAGAUGUGAAAUUUAGGAUAAUUUGUGUGUAUGGCUCUGCAUAUGAAGAAAGGAAACAGGAAUUCAUUUCUGAGUUACGUUUCUGUUUGUUGAGUGGGAAGGACCUACCAUUAUAGGUGGAGAUUUCAAUCUGGUUAGAUCUCAAGAAGAUAACAACAAUGGUAGGAUAGAUUUUAAAUGGUGUGAUAGGUUUAAUGAAUGGGUGGAGAUUUGGUCUCUGUUGGAGAUUCCUUUAGCUGGUAGAGCCUUUACAUGGGCAAAUAACCAAGCUGAAAUGAUUAGAUCUAGGAUUGAUAGAAUUUUCUGCUCUACUGAAAUAGACAGUAUUUUCCCUCUUGCAAAUGCAAGAGCUCUACCAAGACUUGGUAGUGACCAUGCUCCCGUUGUGUUGGACACUGGGCAGGUCGUCCAAAAAAGGGGUGUCUUUAAGUUUGAAAAGUGGUGGUUAGGAAUAGAAGAUUUUAAUCAGGUCGUGCUAAAAGCUUGGUCUAUUAGAUGCAAUAGUACAGACCCAGUUGAGGUCUGGCAACAGAAAUCUAGAUACUUUAGGAAACUGGCUAAAGGAUGGAGUGCAAAUGUAGAGGGAUAUCUGAGAAGGUGCAAAAAAGCCCUGAUGGAGGAGUAUGAUUCUCUAGAUAAAAAAGCUGAAAUAGAGCCACUUUCAGAUGGUGAUAGCUGUAGGCUUGAUACCAUCACAAAAGAGUUAGAUGAAAUUUGGUGUAAAGAGGAAAUUAAGGCUAGACAGAGGUCUAGGGAUAGGAAUGUGCUAGAGGGAGAUAGGAAUACCAAAUACUUCAUGCUGUAGCAAACCAAAGAAGGAGGAAGUGUCUCGAUACAUGUAUUAGAUGGGCCUGAUGGGCCUGUUCAUGAAACUAGUGAUCUUUUAAAAGUGGCCACUGGUUACAACAAGAAUCUUUUUCGAUUUGAAGAUAGACCUGACAUUGAGCUCUCUGAAGGAGAGAAAUCACUGAGGAGGAAAAUUGUUUUUUGCAACAUCCUUUCUCUGAAGAAGAAGUUAGGGCUGCUAUUGAUAGUUCCUAUGCCGAGGGGGCCCCAGGACCUGAUGACCUCUCUUUUUUGUUCUUACAAAAAUUCUGGGCUAUCUUAAAAGUAGAUAUCAUGAACAUGUUUCACUGCUGGUGGGAGGAUAAACUAGACCUCUAUAGAUUAAAUUUUGCAAUGACCUCCCUUAUUCCUAAGGAAAAUGAUGCUAGGGAGAUGAGAAAUUUAGACCUAUUAGCUUGCUGAACUGCAUUUUCAAGGUCUUUACUAAAGUAUUGGCUAUCAGAUUAGCCACAAUUUUAGAUAGGUUAAUUGCUUUAAACCAAUCUGCCUUCAUUAAGGGCAGAUACAUUUUGGAAAGUGUAGUUAUAGCACAUGAGGUGUUGCAUUCAGUUCAUAGUUCUCAAGCUCCUGGUUUAAUUCUUAAACUAGAUUACGAAAAAAGCGUAUGAUAAGGUUAACAUUGACUUCCUGAUUGAGAUUCUUAUAAAGAGAGGGUUUGGAGAUAAAGGGAUCAAAUGGAUUGUGUCGAUUGUUAGAGCUGGCUCUGUGGGGGUCAAGGUCAAUGGGGUGGAAGGGAAUUUCUCCCCUCCUCUUUAAUUUAGUGGUAGAUGUACUUGCUAGAAUGUUAGAUAGAGGAAGGGCUGCUGGCCUGAUCAAAGGCCUAUGCCCUGAAUUAUGUGAGGGAGGGAUUAUCAGUCUGCAAUAUGCAGAUGAUACUCUUUUGUUUUUAGAGGCUGAGGAAAGAAAUAGUAUUAACAUGAGGUGGAUCCUGACCUGUUUUGAACAGCUGUCAGGUAUGAGAAUUAAUUAUCAUAAAAGUGAGUUAAUUACUUUAGGAUUAGAGGAUUCUGAGGAUGUAAAGUUUCUGGAUAUCUUCCAGUGUGUGCAGGGGAAUUUCCCCAUUAAGUAUUAGGUAUACCUCUACAUUUUGAAAAACUGAGAAGAGAAGACUUGCAAACUGUAGUGGAUAAGAUGAUUAGUAGAAUUGCUGGGUGGAGGGGGAAACUUUUGUCACAUGGGGGCAGGCUUAUUCUGAUUAGAGCCUGCCUAGCAAGCAUCCCCAUUUACUUAAUGUCUUUUCUCAAAUUUCCAAAAUGGGCAUUAGCUUUGAUUAAUAGUCAGAUGUCCAAUUGUUUAUGGAAUGACUAUGAUGGUCAUCAUAAGGUUCAUCUAGCUAAUUGGCCAUCCAUCUGUAUUAGGAAAGAAUAUGGGGGGCUGGGGGUCCCUAAUCUUCAAGAUUUAAACAUAUGUCUAGUAGGAUCCUGGAUAAAGAGAUACAUGGAGUCGGAAGGAAGUUGUGGAAGCAAGUAAUAGAUAGGAAAUACCACACUAACAGUCCAAAUAUCUUUUGUGGACAGGAUAGUAAUACUUCUUAUUUCUGGAAAGGUUUUAGGUGGGCUGCGGGUGCAGUGAAGCUGGGAUAUAGAUGGAAAGUAGGAAAAGGAAAUAGAAUUAGGUUUGGGAGGAUCUGUGGUUUGGCUCUGCACGUUUAGCCACACAGUUCUGGGAUAUUUAUACUAUAGUGAAUGAGGUUAAUAAGACUGUGGACAACGCCUGGGAUGGUGCACAGCUAAAAUUCACUUUUAGACGAAAUUUCUCUCCCGAGAUGUAUCAUCAAUGGGAGGAGUUGGUAGGCCUUGCCAGUAGUAUUGUGUUUAAUGCAGAGGAAGACUCGGUGAUCUGGCAAUAUGAAAGCAAAGGGAAAUACUCUUCUAGUUCUUUGUAUUAAGAUAGUUAAUUUUAGGGGGAUUACACCUGUUUUCCUGCCUGUCAUUAGGAAACUCAAGGUGCCCCCCAGGCUGCACAUUUUCCUCUGGCUGUUGGCACAGAAUAAGAUCAUGACGAGGGAUAAUAUGUUGAAAAGGAAAAUGAAGAAACCAAAAGACUGUGUUUCUGCAGUGAAGAUGAGUCUAUCCAGCACCUCAUGUUUGAUUGUGUAGUAGCUAGAGUGGUGUGGGAUAAAUUUGAAUACACCACUGGUUUUAAAAUCGGUAGCUUCCUGGAUCUUGCACAACACUGGUUGUAGGGGAAGAAACAGGAAGUUUUAAAUGUAUUUACUACUGCUAUCCUGUGGGGAUUAUGGAAAUGUAGAAAUGAUAUGAUUUUCACUCAUUGCAUCUGGUUGAACAUGAAUCAGGUUUGGGGAAAGAUUCUGAGAAAUCUGAAGGAUUGGCUACAGUUACUACAGGGGGAGGCACAGGUAGCUCUCAGUGCACAUAUCUGCUGGAUUGUGCAAGAGCUGAGAGCUCCUUCACUGCUCCCUCCAAUACCUUGACCUGGGACUCUGCCGAGGGUCAUCUUCUUGAGGUGGCCAAGGAUGUCAAGCCUACACUGUUCUCUGUCCCGGCACACACCUGGGGAGAAGACGGGGAAAUGCAAACGCAAGUGGUGGAGGUGCCAUCGCUAUACUGGUGGGGAAUGCAUUAACUAGUUGUGGAGGCAUUCAGGAGAUGGUUUCUGCUUUUGUUGUUAGCUUGUAUGGAUAUUUUGCAGUUGCCGGUUGGCACAAACUUGUAUCUGCUUUUGACAUUGAACUCGGUGGGUUGGUUUCAUUUUCAAUAAAAUGGAGCCCGGGAAGGAUCCCUGAUUUUCUUUUUUUUAUUUAUAUUAGUAAGACGACUAUCUUGAGCGUUGAUCUUUCCAAAAAAGGAUCUUGAGCGUUCUACACAUUUUUAUAAAUUUAUGCAGCUUGGUCAGACUUAGAUAGGCGACUUGGAAAUAGCAAAUCCGUUUGUCUAAAUCAAAUACAUGUCCAAAAUUAGGAGCGCAAAUUGUGAGCUGGCUUUUGAAACAUGUAGUAUUCCUACUGAUGAAAAUGAUUAGGAAAUCGAUUUUACUAGCUUACCAUGCUAUGCCUUGAAUUUUUGUCCAUCCGCCUGACGAAACGCUUGGCCUUCCCACAUUUCUUGCAGCACUCGCAAGUAUUACUCAUCUCGCGCCACCUCUGCACCAAUUUUAACAAACUUGAUUUGAUUUACUCUGAAACUAUUCGUCCAGUUAUACGAGUUGCAGCGGGAGUACUAAAAUAUGUACGGAGGAGUACGUACCUUCCAGUAGGGAGUUCAAGAAGUGUCCUCCGAACCUUCUCGAGAUAAAGAACUGCAACAAAAGAAGCACUGCUUUUUUGACAGCGAAUGAACACGAAGGGAAAAAGAAGGCACGGUCGAUUAACGGCCGCAGUUCAAACUUGGCAAAAGUAGAACACAGAGGUAGAGCUCAGCGCCCAGAUCCUGCAAGUGGUGGAAACAAGAAGUUGAAGACGGAGGAGAAGAGAGGGGGCACCUGGCCUGCAGUGCUGAGACGUUUGUUCUUCCCGUAGAGACCCAAGAGAGGGGCAAGACCGCAAGAACCGGACGACAUAGAUGUACACGCCAUUAUGAUGUCCUAUCCUCUCUGGCUCCUCUCCCCAGCUGCUCAGAUGGGACCAAGAUUUUUAAUCUAGCGCUAUUCAAGCACUUUUGGGGCGCUAUCAAGAUUUAGAUGUGCUUCCGCGGCACGACGACGAAUUUUGCCGCAACCCCCGCAAUUCCGCGAUAAGAAAGCUAUUUUGCCGCUAUUUCGCGCGAAACCGUUUCCGCAAUCUCGUCCACAACGACGCUAUGGGUCUCGACUGGAUUGGAAUCAACGCCUAAGGUAAAUUAGGAACAAAUUUCGGCCCAAAUACCAACCGUCGGGCAAGUAUGGUAUUAAUAGGAACUAGCAAAAGACCCAUGCGUUGUUACGGAACAACUGAAAAUUAUACCAAAACGUCAAAUCAAAUGUUGAUGUGUUUUAUGGACACAUAUGUAUAUAACAAUUAUGAUAUGUUUAUUUUCUAAACUAUACUCUGGUCUCUUUCUCUUUUGCACAUGUCUUAUUUCUAUAUCUCGUGUAAAAAGAAAGUGACGCAUGCUCAACUUUUUUGCUCUCUACCUCCAGAUUAUCACUGUUCUCACAUACACAACACUUGAAAAGUCAUGUGUGAGCGUUUUUUAACUUUUUUGCUGAAUUCAUGAAGUGAUUCUCAAUAUAAUCAUGAAUAAUGAAGAACAUGUAGCAAUGAUAACGUUGAUCACUUCCAUCCGUCCAAGCCGCUCGACCUCCCGUGUGGUGAUGAUUUAAACAACAAGCAUCGGUAUAUCGAUCAAGACAGCAAGCAGCAGCAGCCAUCAUAUAAAGCAAGCGGCAGUAUAAAGCAGCCUUCCUGCUCUCCUAUUACUCCUACUCCUUAUUUUAUUUCUCAAAUCACUUCUCCCAAUUUCUCUCGCUUUCCCUCUGACUAUCCUCUCCAUCCCCCCUGAGUGCAAACUCGUCCUCUCCCCGUCCCGAUUCAUCCUGUGACCGAACAUUGCGCGGCCGCCCGAACAGGGAGCCGAGAUUAAAAGGCGUGUGGGGACAGCGUUGGCAGAUAAUUUCGGUGAAGUGACGUACCGCGACGACCGUACCAUCACCACCAACUCCAAUUUAAUAUAUUGGUAUAGAUAAAGCGUAUGGAACCGUAACUCCUCUUCUCGCGUUCUACAUUUUGCGAUGGUAUUACCUUUUGCUGUUAGGAACUUAGUUCUGAACUUGUCAUGAAUUGUGUCAUGGUUUGUUUCUUACUGAAUUCUGAACUUGCUAAUUGUUAUGCUGCUCAUGCACUGCAGGCUGCAGCUGUCAUGGUUAAUUUUCAUGUGAACUUGUUACAUGUCUUGGUCCUCAACUUAUUAUGGUUAUAUGAUAUUAUUCUAUAAUUGUUUGUGCCAAAACUAUGUAGAAUUUUCCUACUAAACGAGGCAUAUAUCUCAUUUCAUAUUCAAAACGCGAAAUUCCUUAAAGGUCCGCAAUCUAGCGCUUUAUAGGAUUUAUAGGUUUUCGAAAGCCUCCGCGAAACGCUUUCAAGCGUGAUUUAAAAUCUUGGAUGGCACAUUUCUUACUAAUGCACAACCACCUUGUAUUUUCACGCUGGUAAUGGUUUUUUUGAUUCGCAGGAUUUUUUAAACAUGGUAAUAGAAAAAAAAACAUGAAACUAGAGUAACAUGUACUCUUGAAUCCUAUAAGAGCUCUAUGGGAAUUAGCCUAAAUAUGUUCGACACACCGUAGAAAAAUAAAAGAAUUGUAAAAAGAUGUUUGAGUAAACAGAAAUAACCCUCCAAAACACAGUGUAAUUAAAUUAUUACGAAAAAUUAUUAAGGAUUAUAUUCUUGUAAAUCAAACGACCAACAAAAAGAACUCCUACUUAAAAAAGUCCUCCAAAAUAUAUAAAUUUCUUUUGAACCAAAGGAGCCUAAGUGUAGUAAAGGAUGAAGAAAAUGUCCUGUUUUAUUACCCAAAAAAAAUUGUGUUUUAUACAUUAAUGGCAGGAUACUUAGUUAAUCUGGGCCAUUAGGAAACUUGUUGUUCCUGUGAUUCCUAUUCUCCCUCCUCCGUAUCGCCCUCUUCUGGCGACACGAGGGAAACCUUAGGGGUAAAUUUCACAAAACCACACAUAUUGAAACAGUCUUCUCACGCAGGCACCACUUUUGCUAAUUUGCCCAGAAAACCACAUUUUUCCGGUAACAAUAUAACAACAAUCCCGUAAUGACGUGAUUAAGAGAGUUGACAGUUUUCCUGACAAGUCGGGCACACAUGUCAGUUGACACGUCGGAUGAACCCGACCCAACUCGGCAGCCACAUGCGGGACCCACUCGCGACCGCAACAUGCGGGACCCCCUCGUCGGUGUCAUAAGUUUUAUUUUUUCCUUUUUCUUUUUCCUCUAUUCUUCUCCAACCUUCGUCAAUGCCCAUUCUCCCCCAAAUCCUGAUCUCCUUGAUGGCCCAUGCUCGUGCCGCCGUGGUGCGAGCGCCCAUGCCUGCCCGCCCUGCCGCUGCUGCGCGCUGCUUGCUCAUCGUCCACCCGCUCGUGUGUCCGCCUAGUCCGCCGCUUGCGGCUUGCUAGCUAGGCCCUCCAGCAGCGGUGCGAGG
rnacentral:lncRNA from 1 species